rnacentral:lncRNA from 1 species
AACUAAACAAAAAUAUAUUAGUUUAUUUCUUAUAGCCAGCUGACUCAGCUCUAUUGUAUUUGUGCGGAGAUGUUCAGUGACAUAGUGUAGAAUUCUCUGCCUAUUGCAACCUCCGUAUGUCUACGCGUGGAGUCCAUCUACCACGUACCGCCCCUUCCUGAGCUCCAGGGGUACAAGUAACAUUGUAGCCGACCUUAUUACCACCGUCCUCCGCUCCUAACCUCGCGCGUCCACUCCCAUCGUGGACACCGCCGCUUAUCCUGCUCACUGUGCCACUCCAAACGUCCAUAUGCCGUCACUAUUUCGACGCAAGCAUCCUCAAUCUUCCCGAUCUCUCUCAUGCCCAGGACUUGCUAAUAUGUAUUUUGGGUCCCGUCUAAUUAUUUCGAAACAUAGCAACCAAUCUUUGUGUCUCUUCAUAAUUUAUUUUCUCUCUUGCACUAGCACAUCAAGGUUGCUCUACGCCGACUUUAUAUCAUGGUUUGGUCGGGUGCACACUUCACAUACGUACAAUUUUUCACUGAGUAAAUGCUACUCAUUCUAAAAUCAGGAAAAAUAUCUUUCAUUAUUUUGCAUAUCCGGUAAAUAACUUUAGGGUGUAGAUACAUUUAUUUUGCUCCGUAUGUAGUACUAAUGAAAUCUUUAGAAAAGACUUAUAUUUAGGAACGGAGCAAGUAGAAGAGUGGCUAGAAACAUACAUGGCUAGUGUUGGAGCAGUAACCUAAGAUUGAUUUCUUAAUGAAUAAAUGCACCGCUCUUUCCAUCGAGUACUUCUGAAGCAAGCUUGGGACAUUAUAAAAGAACAUCUAAACAUAUACAGAUUAGGCAAUAACUUUCGUUCAACAAAUUGUAAUAUGAACCACAUACUCAUACUAUUUAAGACUACGUUAUCCUCGUCAGGCACUUUUUCAUGUAUGCAACAAUCACUUCAUUGAUAUUAGAAGAUGAAGANNNNNNNNNNNNNNNNNNNNNNNNNNNNNNNNNNNNNNNNNNNNNNNNNNNNNNNNNNNNNNNNNNNNNNNNNNNNNNNNNNNNNNNNNNNNNNNNNNNNCCAUACUAUUUUUACUAUUGCAGCCACUCAUCCCAGCAAAUUUAGUGAAACACAAGAAAAAAAUGAAUUUAGGAGAAACUAACUUUUAAAAAUGGAAGAAAAGGGUAGCCAACCUGUGCAGUGAAAUAAGNNNNNNNNNNGACCCUAUAGGAUUAACAAGGAGUGUUUGAUGCCACAAGAAAAACAAAGGAAUUGUAAAAAGAAGUUGGAGNNNNNNNNNNAACCCUAUAGGAUUAGUAAGGAUUGUUUGAUGCCACAAGAAAAACAAAGGAAUUGUAAAAAGAAGUUGGAGUGGAUGUUAGAUUUCCUAUGAAAUGUAGUACAAGAAGAUUCCAUAGGAAAAGUUCCAAUGGGAUUCAAUCCUAUGAUUCAAAGGACCAAUGUAGGAAAAAUCCUAAGGGUUUCAAUCCUCCUAAAAUCCUAAGGGUUAGGUAGUUAGUGUUAAUUAGUAGGUUAUUGUUAGUUUAGGGUUAUGUAAAUUUCAGUAAGUUAGUUUAGGGCCUUUUAGUUUAGGUCACAGUUAGUGUUUAAGCAUAUACAAAUCUACAAUCUACAAAUAUCACUUUAAUCACUACAAAAAUCACGUAAGCAUAUAAAUUAGUGUUAAUUAGGUUAGUGUUAGCUAGUUUAGGGCUAUGUAAAUUUAAGUAAGUUAGUUUAGGUUCGGUCCAUGGCUUCAUCAUUACCUGGUAGUAACAGACGCAUGGCGCUAUCAAGCUCUCGAAAGUUGUUUUGGAAUGGAGUUCCUGAUAGAAUAAUUCUUUUUUGGUACAAAGUUUAACAAAGUCCUUCCAAAUAGCGAUAUUCGGAUGGCUCUUUUUAAACAGCGUACCAAAAAGCUAAUUAUCCUAUUCGGGAUUACGUUACAAAACAACUUUAUAAAGCUUCAUAGCAUCAUGCUCCUAUUUUUUUUAAACAAUACAAUUGCAGAUGCUUACAUACACGAAUUUUUACACACACUUAAAACUUUUGUCAAUAUAUAGUUGAACUAGUUGAUUUAAUAAAACUACUUUAUUUUACUAUAUAUACAAUUAGUUUAUUUUUAGCAAGAAAAUUAAUAGAACUAGUUUAUUUUCUAGUUCAUUUUACGAUGCCUAUCCCGCAUCCUCGUCGUCGACUCGGCGGAGGACACUUGCUUGAUCAGAGGGGCCAUGUCCGGGACUGGGCUCCGCCCGGCUGGUAUUGGGAGGUGCUACCUUCCGGGGGGCGUUGGUUGGUGAGGAGCCAGCCCGUUGUUGACCCGAUCCUUGUUUGGUAGCGGUCGCGUGGGCCAGUGACGGUGUCGAGGCUUCCGGACACCGCGGAGGUGGUACGUCACCGUGUCAGCGAGGAGGAUGAGCACGUCCGUCGCUACAUGGUUGCGUUGGAGGGCAGGUUCGACCAUACCUGGCAGAUUCUUCAGGGAUCUCACUGGAGCUAUGAUCCUGUGAUGGUUCCUUCUCUUUGGGUGUCCACCGCUCGCGACGAUACCCGUCGGGCGCUACGGUUCUAGCUGUAUUAGUGAUGCUAUAUGUAUGAUAGUAUUCGAGGAGUAUUAGUGAUAAUAUUCGACGAUGUAUGGACACAAGAGAUGAUGUAGUUUUGCUUAUAAUUGAAUGCAUACUAAUUUGAAUACUACUUUAUUUUACGAUUUGGUUUUGCUUAUUGAAUGCUCAAAUUGGAAAAGUACUCCUACUUUGAAUACUAAAAUUAGAGAGCACUAUGCAGAAAUCUAGGAGUCCCGGCUGGAGCCACGACCCGGGACUAAAGUUGUUUCGGAACGGAGUUCCUGAUAGAAUAAUUCUUUUUUGGUACAAUGUUCAACAAUGUCCUUUGACACUAGACAAUGUGACAUAUAGAAGGGUAGAUGAGAUCACGAAAAAUAGGAUCAUUUUCUACACAUCUAGAAUGUCGCCAUUUUGUUAAAUCCUUAAAGGUUAAGAGAAUCCGUUAGACAUAUUUUAGAGUUUAGGUUCUAGCCAAGACCCGGGACUAAAGGUCCUCCUAUAUAAAACGACACUUCGAAGUUUCCAACCCCUCUUAUAUAGUUUGUUAGUUUAUUAGUUAAUCAAAUGUCCGUUUUUUGCAGAACUAUGGAUCCACAUAUCAGGAACCUCGAAGAGGAAGAACUUCUCGAAGAUAUAAUCAAAGACGGCCCCGACGUUGAACCAGCUGAAUCUCCGUCAUCAUAUCUAAACCCCUCCGGAUAAGGAAUGGAGGUCGAUCGACACGAAGAUGAAGCCGAUGGGGCAGGAGAUAGCUCCAAUUACGGAGAAGGUGAUAGCUCCACUGAUGGAGAAGCCGGUGGAGAAAUAAUAAAGUCUGGCGAGGUAUACAUAUGAAGUUCGACAAUCACUUGUCAUAUGUGAAAAAUAUUGGAGAUAGCUCUAUAUUGUAUACAUAUACAUUCAUUUGAAGAAUGUUUCUCCCUCUUAGGCCUCCACAUCGAGCAAAGCUACGAAACGAGGCCCGAUAAAAAGUUGGAUGCACGGACGCAUUACACCUUUGAGGUGAUAUUGCCUACGGGCGAACGCAAGCUUCCUAAGAAUGUUGCUGACACAUUCAAGAAGCAAUGUGGAGUUCUCGUUAGGGAUCACGUCCCGAUCAGCAUUCGGGAGUGGAACAAGCGCAAAGGGGCAGCCGAUAGUGACUAUGUCGCCGAAAGGUACAAAGAUAAUCUUUGGAAUGAUCUCAUGUCACAUUUCAACCUGCCAGAAUGUGAGAAUGAAGACGCCGCAAAAAAACUGAGGGCCAAAGUCAAGCAGUGGACUCUAAAGAAGAUGGUCGAACUGUUCCGUAGCUGGAAGAAGAAGCUAUGGAAAAACUAUCGGAAGACAAAGAAAGUGCCAGUAUUCGAGGGGUAUCUAGCCAAGCAGGCGAAUCAUUGUAAGGCAUUUCAAGAGUACAAGGAGUCAGAAGAUGCCAAGGCAUUAUCAGAAAAGAACAAGAAAAAUGCCGACAAGAAGAAAUAUCACCACACGCUAGGGCCAGGGGGCUAUGAGACUGCCAUCCCAAAGUGGGAUAAGAAAGAGCAAGAUCUGCUAGUUAAAGGCACCAUACCUGAACCCAUCCGUGAUGAGUGGGAAUUGAGAGCAAGAAAUUGGUUCCUUGCGCAUGGUGGUUCGUACGACGAAGAAACAUGGGACGUCAUCUGCAGUGACGGUCUUAGGAUACCCAGGGAGAAUUGGAAAAAGAUAGUGAAAGAAAUUAAGGAGGGAAAAAGACAGUUCACUUCAGAUAGAGAGAAAGAUUUGCUCACACUGGUCCUCGGCAAUGACGAACAUGGAGGACGAACGCGAGGCUUCGGUCCUUCUUACCCGUGGUGGCUUGGGUUUGCCAGAGACCAAGACACUUACAGAAUCCGAGCGAGAGCAAAGAAGCGACAGCAGGAUGAGGAGAAUGACAAGUUCAACCAGUUGCUUGCCAGGCUUAACGAGCAAGAGAAGCAGAUUGAUGAGCUUAGAGGAGUAGCGCGCCAGGAAGAUAAUGCACUCGAUAUUACCGGCGCCCCAUCUAAGCGGAAAAGCAGCGUGGCUGAAUCUGAGGUCCCGCCCGACGAUGCACGCAGAAUGAUAGAGGGCGGUCCCGGCUACCCCGUGGAUAGAAUCAAGGAGUCAACAUCAUGUGAACUCCAUCAGAAAUUCAAGAACAUAUCCAUGAAGGUGGCCGUCGGACAAGCUUUACCUUCUGGCCCUGAUGCACGCUGGCAUGGCCGUGAGAUUCCAGCUGGCUUUGCUAAAGUCGGGGUGGAUGAAAUCAUGGCGGGGUUUCAUGAUAUGGAGCUCGACAUAGCUGGACCCGAAGAUGAGAGGACACUCGGAGAAGUACUGGGUGGAGUCAUCCUAUGGGACAAGAACUACAUCAAGCUUCCAGGGUCGGCCCCAAGGACAACACCGCCUCCGAGUCGUCGCAGGUCACCUACACCUUCAUCACCUCCAAGCCCUCCACAUGACGAUGGCCAGCACAACACGAGUCCAUCUCGAUCAUCGCCGCCGGACUUGGGUCGUCCGUCUCCGCCGCCGCCCGCUAAGGAUACUAAGCAGAAGCGUGCCAGCAAAAUGCUCUGUCGAUGAGUUCUAAGCAACGGAGCUCCCAAAGCGCAAACUGUCGCCCCUCCCAAAGGUACGUCAUGCUAAUCUUCCUAUCAGACCUUAUGAUCGUACCGACGAGGAAAACGCCAGGAUAGCAAAGGAACAUUAUGAUGCGCAGAUGAAAAACAAGGAACCCGAGCCCCGCCCGGAAUACACCGAGAAGCAAAUAGCAUAUGCAAAAUACUUCACGACCCUUCCAUCACAGCAUGACUUACACCAUAAGCCUAAUGACUAUACACGCACAUUGCAGAAGGAAGGGAAAAAGAGCAGAUCACGUGCAAGUGCAAGUGGGAGCAAAUCAAGUUCAACUACAAGCAAAAAAAGAUCAGACGUUCCUCAGCCUGGACAACAUGCCAAACAGUCGAUCCCACCCCUCAGGGUGUGACUCGAGAAUGUUCCCUCUCAUGUGCAGGGGCAAGAUUUGAAAUUAGCAAAGAAGUGGGCGGAUGAAUGGGGUAUCCCGGUUGAAGACGUUCUGGCUUCCCAAGACGACAGGUUACCCAAGGCUGUGGUAGCCCCUAAGCCACAGUUUGUCAUGGGAGCGCCUUUGGUCAGCAAAGAUGAUCUCCCAACAAAUAUGCGUUACUUGCAUACAUGGUACUUAAGUGAAUCAGAGAAUGGGAGAACGAUGAUCGUGGCGCGUGUCCCACGGGAGUACUACGGCUGCCCCGAAGAAAUCCAUAUCGACUUUGAUGAACUCUUCCAGAUGUACAAUGCCGACGCCCUCGACAAAUCGCUUAUGAGUUGCUAUUGUCUGUAAGUUUUUCAAUUCGUUGUAUACAUAUAACUUGUUUAGUUAUUUCAAUUCAUUGUCUACAUAUAACUUGUACUCUAUUAUUCAGAAUGAAGAUUCUGGAAUGUAAAAGUAGGAACAUCCUAAAUAUUGGGUUUAUUGACCCAGAUAAAAUACAUAUAGCGACGCUAACUAAUAAACCCAAGGAGACGGAGGAAAACCUUCUAAGGUUUCUAACAGAUCAACAUUUCCUUGACCACAUACUGUUUCCAUACAACUUCAAGUGAGGGUCUUUACUCUGUUGUGUCCAUUCACUUAUAAGUGUAAUUGAUAAGUUACUGAAACACACACACAUAUAUAUAUACAUGUGCAGCUACCAUUGGAUUCUGUUGGACAUUCAAAUUGAUAAGGGAAGAGUUGAUGCCUUCGACCCAUUAUCGAGACCCUUGGAACAGUUCCAAAGCCUGCAGGACAUGCUCCAAGGGUAAUUUCAAUCAUUCUUGCGCUCUAUCGGUCUCUUUCGAUGAUUUUCUGAUAUAUCAAUUAAUGAAAAACUUAGCAAAUCAUUUUCCUUGUCGGGCAGGGUUUGGAAGCGGUUCAAGUGCGUGACUCCCGGUAUCGAGCAUGAGAAGCUGACCUUCAGAGCGGCUCAGGUAAGUAGUAGUAUGAUAUACUUUUAUUUUCAAUAUAUUUAUGAUGCUAGAUUAUUAUUUUGAUUAUAUAUAUUCUAUUCUCGUAAAGUGCGGCCAGCAGCCACGGGGGACGCAUCUAUGCGGAUACUAUGUUUGCGAGACCAUUCGCACGUUUAUCUCUGAGCACAUAUCUCACUCCCAACAUGGGUGGCACCAACUUUACAUACGAACCACCCCUCCCCCCCACCCCCCAAGAAAAAGUCCUUGUACUGGCAAUCUGCAUAUGUAAAUAUGUGUCAACCAACUAAUCUCCAAUCAUUCUUAAUACUAUUGCGACGAAGACUACGGUGCUCUCCCUGAAUGCCUUCUUCUUUCUAGAGGCAAUCAUUCCUAUGGGAGUAGCACCCACGACCCAGAACACAUUCAUCGCUAGGGGGCAUAAGGUGGUUUUCGUCUGUGCUUAAAGUACGUCCCAGGACCAUUUCAAUGCAACAGCAAAACCUUGAAUCCAAAAUUGCCUACAUUUAAAGUAUAUUAGUAGUAGACAAUCAUGCCGAAACAUGACAGCCAAAGUAUUUGACCUUUGUACAUAUGUAAGACAACAAAUUUCUGGGGAUUACUUUCAUCAAAUUUUUUCUUUGCUGAAUCUCCAGAGGAACAUGCCUUUUAUUACCCACUAAUGUUUGGUCGGGACCCAAUUUCCCAAACCAAAUAAGGUGCCAUAUUACCGACCAACAAAUUAUCCAAGCAUAUGGAAUUCUAUCCCUCAGACCCCGACGAAGGUGGGCAUUUAGGGUUGCAGGUGGGGCAGUUGUCUUGGCACUCACUCCGCCUCUUGUAACACUGUACAACAUUAUUCUGGCAGCAGUAGCACGUACCAAAGUGCCCAUGCAUCGAUUGAUGCAGAGGCCGGGGGCUCGUUUCCUUCUUAUCAAAAAAAAAUCCGAGAGACGACAGAAGAGUAACCGGGUGCAAAAUUUCAACAAUAUCUUGUUCUCCCCUACAAAAUUCGAGUUAACGAUGGUAGUGUUGGCCGCAUGGCCAUCUUGGUUGACCACCAUUUGGUUAUUAUCAAGACCACCUACGUAUUAUAUAUUUAACAUUAGUUUGCAGUACCGCAGAUGUAUAAAUAUGUAUAGAUGUUUAAAAAAUGGAAAGAAAUUAACACGAGAUGCUAAUGAUGACGACAAUAGAUACUUACACUGUACACAUAUGAUUAGGCACCCAAUGAAGAAUAUCAUGGUCGCUUGCACUAGGCUGUUCCCUCUCAUAUUGGUUCUCUCUUGACAAAAACCCAGUUCUAGUCAAGAUGCAAGGUUCCAGUUGGAAAUAGUUGGACUCCAAACGUGGCAGACACGGUAUGCAAGAUUAUAAAUAGCAAGAGGUUCUGGUUGUAAUGGUGAGUAUCUUAUAAUAAUAUCAUGCAUAUGAUGCUAGUGUACUCCCAUGUAUCGUAUCAUAUUGAAUGUUAUGCUACACCCAUAAUACAUAGUAUCAUAAGGUAGUUCAUUUGUUGCAAUGCAUUACAUAUAGUAGCACAACAUUUAAUAGCAUAAGAUAUCAUGAUACGAUACUCAACCUUUGUCUUUUUCAUUUAAUUAUAUGCACGUCGUCAAAAUUGCUUAGUUGUCAUGCAUGGUACUAUAUGUAAUACUCCCAUUACAACCAGUCUAAUAUACUUUAAAUAUUUAUUAAUGUACGUACUUCAAAAGAUUGUAAGUGCACGAGAUAUACGUUCAUUAAUGUUGAGAUUUUUCUACAUACAAUAUUAAGUGAUACAACCAAGAUGUAUAUAUGCAACCUUGCAUCCUUAAGGAAUUCCUUAAUAGCAACUGUAGCCGAUUCAAUAAAUAGCAAGCUCUAGUGGCUCACGUCCCUCUUUCUUGAAACUUGUAAUCUGAGAAAGCAAUUGUAUUUUUUUUUGUAGAUGGACAAAACUUAGAGAAAAAUUUAGUGCAACAUGUAGCCCACGAAGUAAUAUUGCCUUUAGGCAAAGCUAAAAAGCCAUUCCUUAGCUUUUCAUGUGAGAGAGAAAGGAAAUAAGCGAAGUUUCAAAGCAUCUGGGUCAUAAUCCUGUUGUGUGUCAUGUUGCAUAAUUCAGUAAAAUAAUGUAAAUGCAUACCUACAUUUUGUCAAGCAGAGCCUUCAAAUUGGUCCCGUUGAACCAAGGAAACCAGGUUUGGUUUAAUCUCAUAUUCGGCAGCUGCAACAUCAGGUUGUGCUAUUAGUUCACACAUGAAAUUAUUGCUAGGAGUAGCAGAACUCCCAAGAUUACGAGCCAUAGUAUCUUUUUGGUUUUUCAACCGAAAACACUUGAAACAAAAUAAGACAUAAACUAAAACAGAAACUAAAAACAAAAACUAGAAAUUAACUUGAACAAAAAAAAUCCUCCCCUGCAACGACGCUAGAAAAAGGGCUUGAUAUCUUUUUUUAUUGAUCCGGUAAUGGAACGAGAAAGGGUGUCCUGCACCUAUUUCCCUAGAGGUGACCCUGGUUAUUGAACCAGCGAGAGGAAGACUCCUUGAAGCAAUUGUCUUUAGCAAUCUUUUUGCCAAUGUCUCAAUCCAACUUUUGACUGGAUCAGCAAGAAAAUUGUGAUUCAACACUUAUAAUAAAAACAAGGUGUGGGGACUAUGUAUUACUGUGUAAAACAAUGUAUUAGUGUUGGGAAAAAAUAUUAGUUUGUGCAGUUUGUGCUCUGGAAGUCAUCCACGAAGAGGUGCUUGCUUUCUGAGUGGGGGAUAUGUUCAAAUUACAUCUUGACUGGCACGAGUUCUGCAUCAAGAAUUAGUUGUCCUACCGAAGGCCCUAUCCGUCUUGCAGGGUUGCCCCAAUAAUUCAUAUCAAACAAAAACAUUGGGUGUUUAAUCAUGAAUUCCCAAGGUUAGGAUGCAUGUUACCCUACUGAACCUUAUUGUCAUCGGUGUUCGUUAUAACACGUCAUGGUCCCCUUCCUCCUAGCCUCACUACACCUCAUGAGGAUUUCGGACAAGACAAGAGACAAUUCAUGAAACAAUUUUAUUUGACACAUAUAAGACGUUAUGUCAAAGACUUCCAUUCUUCCCUUCACGGAAUACCUGGGGCUGCAAAGCUCAUGUCUCACCCCAAACCUUACUAGACUACACACACAUGGAGGUCAUAUAUCACGAGAAAAUAUCAUUAAAGAAAACAUCUUGGGAUUGAUUGAUUGAAAUAUGUCUUACAAUAUAUGCCUUGUGCGAUGCACGAUUACAAGUAUGAACUAUAUGAGAGAGAACUAUGGUGGUGGAGAUGGCUAUGGAGAUAAAAGUGGCGGCGACUAGUGUUUGUGAAUGGAGAUGAUGAUGAUGAGGUUAUGGCUGCACUCGACACUCUUUUGUUAACAUUUUGAUGGGAUCCCCUUUUUAAAUGUUGUUCAGGUGGACGACUUUCCUUGGUUUCCAUGCCAAACGACCGCUCAUGCGAGCGCGUGUGCUUGCAUGGAACGCCAUCUUUGGCUCUGGUGGCCUCCUGGCACUACCUGGUGUCUUGUUUCUUCUCCAAUUUCCAUCAUUUCCUUUCUCCCACGUGAUUUCUAUCCUUUUUAGCCCAUUUCCUAUGACAAAAUAUCAAAGAGAGGAUUUUUUGAAUCCUUUGCAUUCAUUAGUGGCGGGCAUCAAAAGCCAAGGAGUGGCAAUAACGAAGUGAAUAUCUCUUCUCUUUUAAUGAAAUAUCUUGGUUUAAACAUAGUUGAAAUGAGUGUAAAAAUAUGACUAAUCACAAACCCAUGAUAAUGAGACAAGUAUGCAUCUAGUGAAUAGGCUAUCCUUUCCACACUAACAAAAGUCAGCUAGGGGUAGGGGUAACACCAACACUCAACUUCUGCAGAAAUGCCUACCAGUAGUGGGCAUCAAAAGCCCAGCAGUGACGGGUGACACUCUUAGACCCAUCUGCCAGUGAGUUUCAACCACUACUAACAUGGCAUCGUGGCGGACGCGCGCCUAUCACUAGUAAAUACCAAGCAGCGGCACACCUUACCUAGCGUCCGCCGCCCAUAAUCCCACUAACGACACUAACAUCGCACACUAUUAGAAAUUUAGGCUUUGUGGUCUAUCCCCUAGUCUUGUGCGCUUAUCCGUGGUGUCGCUCAAAAUUAACAUGUCUGAAUCUAGGGGUGGAGACCUUCUUAUAUAGUUUUCCAAACAGCUCACCUCUUAUACAAAUAAGACUCCUAGUCGUCUCAACUAGUUUCUGGGAUACAAUCCAGAUAAAUUACCAACCACGGUCAAAUUUGUCUGUUAAUGGAUUCUACCCAUUCUAUUCCCGAAACACUUGUGAGCAACACGCCAUAAUAGUCUAAAUUCCUCUUAUUAUGUAGAUCAAUGUUAGGGUUGUAAUCUAACUAUACGAUCUAACUCCUUCCAAUCAUUAGUGUAUCCGGGCAGUCGUUCCAAUAUAAAUAUGUUGUUGUGUUUCACUGAUAAUAGACCACCUUCAUAAUAUAAAUAUGUUGUUGUGUUUCACUGAUAACAGACCACCUUCAUAGCUUUCUUAAGCAUAUAAUACUUAAGUACGUUCCAGCAAGUAAUAAUUCCAUGAUAUACAUGUAAAGUAAGUCCAUGCAUAAAUACAUAUAUAAUUUCAUAUUAGGUAUUGCGAAUAUUAGUAAUUCAAAUAUAGUUGCAGGUUGCAUAAUUCCAACAUCUCCCGCUUGUCCAAAACGAUUAUUCUAGCUAUAUAAAUGGUGGUACUUCCCUUCAAUAUAUUUCCUUCUUGUGACACGUAAGAUCACAAAAGACCUUAUUUCCGCCUAGUUAUUACAUCAUAGCUGUCCUUGGCGCCUUGAGUAUUAUUUCUCGAGUGUAAUUCCACGUUUAUAGGCACCUUCAGCAUUUUUGUCCUCAAGAUAAAUUCCGCAUCAAUUAUUUACAUCAUAUAUAUCAGUACUAUUGAUAAUUCUACAUUAACUUAAAUAGAAGAUAACCACGUUUAAUAAAGUUUCCAAAACUAAGUAAAUAUCAAAUCCGAUCAGUAAAUUAAGUUACAUGAAUAACCAUGUUUGAAACAAAUUCAUAACUGUAGUCAGUGAACCUGCACCGUAUUUGUACUACAAAAAGAAAUUUGAUACGUGUACCUAGACUUAUUUAUAAUCUCAUAAAUACAAUAAUAGCUUCCUCAAUGUGUCCAUCUAUAGUAUAAAUUCCAGAACAAGUGACAGGUGGCGAUGCCCUUUCCACAACCUAAUAUGAUGUGUGACAUUCCCUUGGCCGCUCAUUUUUUUUCCACUUCUUGAAUGGAUCAUAAAUUUUGAAAGCUAAGGUACGAUUGUAUAACAAAGAUACAAUAAAUUUCAACAUCAUUUAUUAUCCUUUUUUCCUCAAGAGUUCAAACAUAAUUCCUCGCUGAUUUUGGUUCCAGGUACUUUAUAAAAUUUGUAAUUUUUCAUAUAAAACAUUUUAAAACAUAUCCAUUAUAGUUCUGCUCCCAAAACAUAGGAAGAUUCAAACAUUCCUUUCAUACGAAAGUGAAACCAUGACGAAGCUUUCACUUACUUCAAUGUGACUUUAUCAUUUGCAAACAACAAAACAAGGUUAACGUAUAUAAUAAUAAUGCAAUAUAUAUUACACAUACAUUUGUAGAUGACUGUCUUGCUUCAUUUACAAAACUAUAUGGCCUGCUAUUCCAUUGAUGUGAAGCUUGUUAUAAGAUCAUACAUUAAUGUAUUCGGUUAGCAAACCAUGUUUUUAGUUCCUCUUUACGAAAAUUCAAUCAGAGAGAGUUUCCACAAAGUGUAUAUCCGUUCGUGUAAAGAAUUGAAUAACACGAAUGUCAUUAUUAUAUUCUAGUGAGCUAAAUUUCCUUCCCCACAAAAACCGCUUCCAUACAACAUGCUUGUUGUUAUUUGGUAUGAUUUUAAGUUCCCAAACUAAGCUCUUCCUAAUUUGAGUUUAUCCCUUCCCACAACUCUUCCACCGGUAGUUGGCAUUGAUGAAAAAGUCCUUCUUUAGAGAAUUUAGUUAUUACUUUAAAAUUUAGAAUGACAUCCCCCAACAACACAUAACAAGUAUCCAAACAUGAUAUUCCAGGCUAAGUCCUCCCACAUAUCCUAAGCAUGUUAUUGUCACGAGUUUCGCUUGUAGUUUCCUUUGGGGUCAAGAUUAUAUUUCAGUAUGUUUGUCAAUAAUGGUAGUUCUUAUCCCCCGCUCGCCACUCGUAAGAUUUUAGAAAAUGAAAGAAAAUGGAAGCACCUCCCAUGGGUGCAGUAGCGGCGCUUGAUGACGCGUUCAUGUCCCUGUUCGGGAGGCCAGCACACACGCACACACGUAACAUGUAGACUGGCACCUAGCCCGCAUGGUCGAUCUGCCACCCUGCGCACGCUGGAUUGAGGACGGGUGCACACCUGUUGGAUCUGCCUCCACCCGCACACCCAAUGGAUCUUUCGCGCGUUAGAUUCGCUGGAUCCGUCGGACACUCUCUUACCAAUUGUUGUUGGGUGUUAUCUUACCAACGUUUUGAUGGAUGGUGCAAGUGGAAUUAACAUCUUAUAUUUUAGUACUCUAAGAAAAUGAACAUCCCUUGCCAGACCUUUGGCCCAACAAUAUUGAGUUCCACGACGUCGUGCCCGAAAAAAGGAAGCAUAUGGAUUAGAUAACAUUCGACAUCCUUGAUAACUUCCAUUUUGACAUGCUUUGGUUGAAUGAUUAGAUUGACAGCGCACAUAUGAUGCUUUAUUUGGUCGACCAGCCUACGCCAAAUCUAUUGAUUUUUGAGGGUUCACUGAAGUGUGAAGUUGCGAAUAUUUCCAUGCACGGCGCAAAAGCUAGCCAUGCAUGAUGAUGCCAGCGAGACUGUCUCCUUCUUGUGGCAGGUCUUGGGUCAUGUCCAUGGCAUCCGACGCCAUCAAGCUAGCUCGCAAUUGCGCGCGAGCGUGAUGCUGAAGCUAAACUGGAUCGGAUCGUAGGAGAUAGAUGUUCGGGCAAGCGAUGGGAAUAAUCACGCGGACAUACCUUCUAGCAGCUUUCUCUCUUGAGAAACACAUCGCGGCCCGAAAUCACCGGACAUUAGCAGAAGCUGCUAUCAUUCGUUGGGCUGGCCUAGUAACGCGGUUCCUUUUUGCUGUUUCAUUUUUUCCUUUCUUUCAUGUUCUAUUUAAGUUAACCAUUUGUAUCUCCUUUGGUUUAUUUCCACUUUUGUUUUUUUGUUUUGUUUUUAAUUUCUAAUUUGGAGGACUAUGGAUUUGUUCCCCAAAAUUAAAUGAACAAUUUCCCACACGUGUGAAAAUUUUAGAUAGAUGAAUAGUGAUCUUUGGGUACAGAAACCUUUUUUAAUAGUAGGGGAUCUGUUUUCAAUGUAUGUGCAUUUGUAUUCAGGAAUGUAUACUUUUAAAAUAAUUAAACUUAUUUUUCAUUUUUAAUAAAUGAAACAAAGAUAUGCAUUAAGCUGCAUAUAGGAAAAUCCGACUGAACAGGCAAAUAUUCAGUGAUACCAACUCCUACAUACUCCCAUUUUAAGAAGUAAAUCUUAAACGUUUCAAAAAAAUAGCAUAGUUUUUUAUUAAAAGAAUGGUGAUGAUAGUAUGUGGACCUCUAAGUAUGAGGGUAUGAACCUUUCUGUUCACCAAUAAAACCGAAGAACAUUUGAGGUCCAUACAAUGCACUGUGAAAUAAACCUCUAAAUAUUUUAGGUCCAUAGAAAUAGGUGGUUGGAGCAACGUGUUAAAAAUAGAUCAGGGUUAAGAUGUAAAAUGCACUGUGAAGUGCCAUCCUAGCUUGAUGACAUACAAUAUAUUAUAUCACUAAUCUCCCUAAGAUUGCAGGCCUCUCGUUCAACUCAGGUCAUCAAUUUGGAAUGGGUCACCGAUUUGACCGGAUCAACAAUCUUUUUCAUUAAUUUUAUUAUAUAAUACAUGGUAUUUUCUAAUUUUUAAAUCUUCACGAUUAAUUGAGGGUUCAAUUUAGAAUUGGAUCACCCGAUUUUGAUCGGGUCAGCCAUUUUUCAAGGAGCUCUCCUAUUAAUUUUUUUAAGUCUUUGUGUUUUAUAAUUUUAAACUCUUUCAUUCGAUUGAGGUAUUCAAUUUUGCAUAUAGUUUAUAAUUUUGAUCGGGCAAACAAUUUCUCAAAUCAAUCAGCAGCAACCGUCCUAUGAGAGUAUAUUAACCCCUCGUAGACUCCCGUCCACACAACAAAGCACUACCAUGUGAUAUUAUAGGCGAAUAAAGUGCAUGCAACCAACGAUAAAAAAAUAUCUCCACAUAAAUAUGGGUUGAUUAUCGGAUAACACAAAAUCACACCUCGCAAGGCCCACCAAAUAACUGUAUUAUAAAUAAACAUAAAACAACUCCGUCAUCUCUAUCACCGGCCAAACUAAUUAAUACUCCAUCAAUUUCAAAUUAUUAGGAUUAUAAGUUAUUUAAAAAGUCAAAUUUCUAUACUUUUUGACCAUGUUCAGAGCCAAAAAUAUCAACUUCCACGAUAUUAAACAAACAAAUAUGAAAAUUCAUUUCCUCAUGAAUCUAAUAACAAUUGUUCAAGAUAUCGGUAACUGGUAGCAGCUCGGCCGGCUUGGGAAUAGCGAUUAAUCGGUGAAUCAGCCUAUUAAUCGGAUUAAUCAGUCGACCAUUAACUGAUAGAUUAAAUAGGAACUUACCAACAUAUAUCUAGUUUUUAUGUAUUAUACCAUAUACUUUCGUGCUCCCAUCUAUUUACUAUUCCAAAAUAUGCUACUGUUUGGUCGAACCUGAGCUAUUGAGCAAGAGUGGGAUGGGAUGGGUUAUGAGGACAAAUUUGGCUUUGUUUCCAAAAAUGUUAAUGGGCCAAUAAUGAUAUUAAUCGUCCUAACAAUCGAUUAAUUGGUCUAACUGACAAAUUAAUCGGUGUGACAAGUUAACAUGAUGAAUAUGUGUUAUUCGAUUCGGCCACUCAACGAGUAGCGAUUAACUGGCCUAUUAAUUAUUAAUCGGACGAAUUCUUGAAGAGUGAAUAACCCCGAUUUGAUAUUAAGAAUUUUGAUACAUUUCUCUACAUAUUUAAUCAGAUUUAAAGAGGUUUGACUUUUCAAAAAAACUAAUACACCAUAUAACUUGAAGUAGAAUGAUUAAAGAAAUUUGAAAAUCCCAACAAAUUCAACGACGCAGCAAAGCGCGCCUAACCCUUUUAGUAUGACACUAAACUCCAUAAUUUUAAUGAGCCAACAUUCAAUUGAGGUCUCCAAUUGAAAUUGGGUGAUUCCAUUUUGACCUCAUGAACAAUUUCUCAAAGCUCUCUCAUUGAAUACUUUUAUAAUAUACACUAUGCUUCCUAGUGUUUAAGACCUCACAAUUAACUGAGCUCUCAAUUUAGAAUUGAAUCGCCUGAUUUUGAACAAGUCAACAAUUUCUCAACGAUCUCUACAACUCAAUUAUUUUAAUUCCAUAUAUUCUCUAAUUUGAAAACUCUUUCAUUCAGUUAAGGUAUUUAAUUUUGGAUUUUAUUUAUUAUUUUGAUGCAGCCAAUAAUUUUUCAAAUCAAUCAGAAGCAAUCGGCUUAUAAAAACAUAUUAAUCGUCCGCAUCCUCCCAUCCCUAGAAAAAGGAAAUCCACUAGAUGUUAUUGUUGCACAAAUAUACUACAUAGAGUCACCGAUGCAAAAACUUUCCCACAUACAUGUACAUUGGUCAGUGGAUAACACAGACCACACUACAAAAGGCCAACCAAGUUAUCGCAUUAUAAUCUAACUAGCGGAGUCACCCGCGCAUUUGCGCGGCUAGAUUUGCCAUUUGUUGUUAAAUGUGAGUUUUAACUUAUUUUCUAUAUUAGCUUUGAUCGUGUCCCAUCUUCUCAAUUUUGUUCAUUGAACAUUAGAAAUUAGACACCAAAAAACAUCAAAAUAGAGAAAUUUCGUAUAAUAAUCCAAAUCUUGCUGGCCCAAACAGUCAUGGAGUACUUCCUCUUCCUUUUCUUAUCUUUAGUGCUAUUGCAGUUCGGUUUGGUUAGGGAAAUGCUUUGCGUCAAGAUGCGUCCGCACAUCCGAUCCAUACUUCAAUUUACUGUGGCGUGUUUGUAUCAAUGUAAUGUAUUUGUAUUCACUAAAAAAAUGCUACAAUAUUAUCUCUCCGCGGACUCUGCUAACUCUUUCAUACCUUAUCUUUAUAUUUUAUCAAAUCGUGCCCAUGUUAAUAGUGUCAUAACUUACCUUUGCCAAAUCCUGCCAAAAAAUACAUUUUCUUAUUUAGCAAAACUGAAAUGAUUCAUCGUACCUGGACAUGAACUUUUGUUUCAAACCUCUACAAAUAUAGAAAAAGAAAUGUUUCCCUUUCUUCAAUUUGCGUUGUUCCUCACACGCUCAUCCAUCUAUUAAAUAUUCUUAUUUAUCUUCACGUACAUGAGUGUUUUUUACAUGGGCAUGCACAUGAUUAUUCUACCAAAUCAUGUAUACACCGUUUGCACUGAGAUAUAUUUAUUUACAACAAUUCAAAUAUGAUAUUACAUACUUGACAUAGUAUCUUGAUUACACGUUCUCUCUUUGUCACUUUUAUCACAAUUUCCAUUUUCGGAUCAUGCCCACAUUCUUUUGCCUAUUCCACUUGCCUAUCCAUGCUCAUAAUUAUCAAUGACAAAGGAGGCCUAUAUAUCACAUUGAUCAUAGCUAACUGUUUAUAGCAGGGACCAUGUUGUUGACGUACAAUCUAUCGGUUUAGCAUGAUAAACAUAACUUAUUGUAUAAUCCCUACUUUACAAUGUGAGGUACUCUAUUUCUAACUGUAAAUUUGGAUCAUAAAGGUUUAUAUACAAUAUUUAAUUAAUAGUUAAGAUAAAUAGUAUCACAUAAAAGUGAAGAAGAAGUGUAGGUUUUGAUACAAAUCCAAUGGUACUACAUUAUUAAUUUGUAAAAGAAAAACACACAUGAUUAUUUAAAUAGCUCGUCAAAGCCUGAAUUUGGUCAAUUAGCUUCCUUAAUAUUGUAUCAGAUAACGUAUUCUAUAUCACUUCUCGUGGCGACAACCUAAUUAAUUUUCCAAUCCGGCCAAAAUAUAUUACCAAGUAAUAAUGGAAGUCAUAGACGAUUCCAAUUACCAGAUGUCAGGAUGAGUUGUGCUUCCACCUAAUCAUCACUUACUUUCAACCGUGAACUUCACACGACAACAAUUCAUGUGCACCAAGUUGUGCUUUGGCGUACUCUUUUUUUCUCUCUUUUCUCAUAUCAUGAAACCUAUGUUUUACAUAUCCAAGUAACCCAUGCAUGUGGUCAUAUCAUUUUAUUGUACUUUUAUCCAACAUUUUAGUUUUUGGUGUGAGCUCAGAUUUAUAAUCAGAAUGCUACUCUCAGUAUUAAAGUUUUAUAACCAUAAACUUUGUGAAGUGUGCAUGGAAAAGCAAUGUUAUUUAUAUCAUUCCCUGAUUCUUUAUUUAAGCAAUAAAAUAUAUAUUUUACAAAAUAAAGUAUUAAUAAUUGUACAUGUACACGAAGAAAAACAACUUGGUUAAUUUUUUGAGUAGUGACAUUUGUUAUGAUGUCAUGGCAUGCAAUACAACGUCUACCACUUCUAAAGGAAACUCCACUCUUGUUUCCCAAUCAGACAGCACCAGAGCAGCCGCUAGCUUUUAUGCACAUAUUAUGCUAUUCUAAAAUUGGGAAUGAAAAUUACUCAGUAAUAGAUUGACCGAUUAACCAACCUUUGCUUAUCUUGUUUUCAUUUGGUGUACUCCAUUUUCCACCUACUGGAAUCGGUUACCAGAUCCUACCAAUGCGAAUAGCGCACACUGACUCUCGCCCGUCGACGUGCGUCAUGGCGUGUGCCAUGAUGUUCGCCGCGCUGCACACACCAAAUCGUGCUGGCGCCUGACGAUGAAUGAUUCGCAGAGAUGCGUAGAGUAGAGAUGUAAUUGUAAUCUUGAUUAUUUGUCUCCCUGACUUCAGUUUCAUGGAUACGACGGGUUUAUAAGAUAAGUUCCUCGAAAACUACAAUCUUUCAUGCGCAUGGGUAACAUCCAUAUUCUCCAAUGUCAAAUACUAUGUCUACUAUAUUGGCAUCUUCUCUGAAAAUCUGACAAAGAUCAACGCAUUACAGCAUAAGUAAUCUUCUGCAAAAUGAAAUUAACACGCUGUAAAUUCAAAUUCCAAUUGACGACUGCUAAAGUAAAGACCAAAAGUUAAAUACUUUCCAUCUUGGAUUGAAAUUAUGUUAGAAAGAUUGAAAUUACCAUCGACGAUCGUAAGUAAUACCAAUAGAUAAAUCCAUUGCAUCUUGGAUGCUUACCAGGUUCACUACAUCUCAAACCAUGCGGCUGAUAGGCAUUCCACAGGAAGCAGAGCCUGCUAGUAGUUCUUGUUCAGAGGUGAUGUUGCUGCUUGAUUACGGAGCUAGGCCCAUGCAGUGCAAGCAAUCAUCUUCUUUGAGAUGGAUAGAGGCAGCCGAUGACGCCACCAGUCCAAUUAGCUAGCCUAGCAAUUGUAGAUCAGCGAGAACACACUCAUAUAGAAGUACAUGGUCGAAUUAGAUCAUGUACCUCCUGAUAGAGCUAGUAAGCCCCUGCAGUGCGCAAAAUCAUCUGUGGUUUGACAUGGAUAUAUAGAGGCAGCCCGUGACGCCAUCAAUCACUUCGCCUAGCAAUGGGAGAUCAGCAAUAACACAAUUAGAUCAACGUACAUGGUCAAAUUAGUAGUGGCAUAUGUGGAAAAGUUUAGAUGUUUCUAGGACGCCCGGAUCUGGCUAGUAUGAAUAUGAAAGACGGAUGCACUUCUUUCCACCUUGAACCACGGAAUUACUGGAGAAGCAAUUUCUCCCCUCCUUGCAUAGAAAAACUGAAGUCAGAAGGGAUGAUUAGAUGCGUUCUAAUGUUCUUAGCUUUUUUCUAUCACGGGAAGAGAGGAGACUACCUCAUGUGUGCGGAAGAGGUGCUGGUUUUGGAAAUUGACUUGUACUACAAACGCAUAUGGACACUUAAUGAGUCUUGCUUAUGUACGAUUGGACAUGCCCUUACGUGGCCAUCACAUCCUUACAUCGGCACAUAUUUUAUAUGUGCUAAUUUUCCAAUCUAUGGGUUGUUUCCUAAUCGGUGUCUGCUUUUUAUUUCAGGUGAUCGGGAUGCUUUUGCAAAUUCCUACGCUAGCACAUGUUUUUUUACUUGACGUGGGCCUGUAUAUGGAGAUGAAUCUAGUCCGUCCAUAUAUCUUAACUCUUGGGUGAUAAAUCUUCACCGUUAAUUUUCUAUCGUCUUAAUAAUAUAAUAGAAGAUUAGUAUGAUACAUGUUUGACAUUAUGUAUCAUGCCGGUUUGACAUUAUGUAUUUUGGUAUUUUUCACAACUAAUUAGAUCAAACUUAAAAGGUUUGACUUUUGAAAAACGUUAUACACCUUAUAUUUUAAAAUUUAGUGAGUUUUUUAAGAAACCCAACAACACCAUGGGUGCAUCAAAGCGUGCCCAACUCUUCUAGUACGUAGUAUAUAAUUCUUUUUUAUUGAAGAUAGUAUACGGACUUGAAGAUCAGAAAUCCAUAAUCACAAUAAAUAGUAAAUUCAAAUAAAAUAUCAUAACUAUCUGAAACUUGUUUAACUCAACGAUGUUCCAAACUUCUACGUCCUUACAAAUUUUCGUGGUGAGAUGACAUCACAGAAGCUCGUUACAAAACAAACAAAACUAAAGCCUGAGACUGUCCAAAAAAUUGUACUCUGAUUUUAUUUAUUAUUUGUGACGAUCUCCUCCACUAGUAGAAAAUGAGUCUUUCGGCCGAAGCCAAAAACCACAUUAGUUCCGGUUCAAACUAAAACCGGCACCAACGCCAGGCAUGGUCCCGGUUCAGUUUGCCAGGGCAUUGGUCCCGGUUCGGUUCACCUCAUUAGUCCCGGUUUGUGGAAAAAACCGGGACUAAAGAUCCAACGACUGCCACGUGGCGUUUCGCGGAGCAUUAGUCCCGGUUUGUGGCAAGAACCGGGACUAAAGGAUAUGCUAUUAGUCCCGGUUUUAGACAAAAACCGGGACUAAAGUAUUGCCUAUAUAAACCCUCGCCCCUGCCCAACAUCUCCUCUGUUUUUUGGUUGUUGAGGUGUGCCCAUGCCAUGCUUUUGCCACUCUAGUUCAUGCACAUGAGGUGUUAGAUGAAAUGUCCGAACCACACUACUUAAGCUUUCUCCUCUCCAAGCUCCAUUUUCCUCAAUAUUUUUCUAGGUUUGGCCGUGCAGCAACUGCACAAGUGUUUUAAAAGGUUAGCUACUUCAUCCUUUCAUCUUUCACUUCUAGUUUAGCUCAUUUCAAAUGCUCAAAUUAAUUAAGUUCUUAGAGUCUGCACAUGUGUAGGGUGUCGUCCCGUGCCCGUCCUCACCGUUUUCGAUCACCCGCGCCGAUCUCAACGCGAGCACCACCGUGGUGAGCCUCUUGUUCUUAUCUUCUUUUCAAAAGAAAAAAAAUCUUACUUGUAUGAUUUAGAUACAUACUUGUAUAAAUUACUUACUUUCAUUAUUUUUUGUUAUUAUAUAGUGCGAUGGUUUUGGUAUCCGCAUCCGUCGGCCCUCGUCCUGUCUAUGAUUCAGAUAUGGUAUAUAUUAUCUUCUAUAACUAUUUGUUUUAUUUAGUGUUUAUGAUAAUUAUGACGAUCAACGUGACAUAUAUUUUUAAAUCUAGGAGGUAUGUGAACCGGAAAUUUCAACCCACAUAGAAAUUCUUGUCGAGAAGUUAAAUUUAGUUGAAAAAAGAAAACAAAUACUUGAAGGAAAAAUUGAAAAUAAUUGAGGAGAAGAAUAUGGAACUCGAGUUGCAUGUUGCCGAUGUCAUCGAUGAUCGCAAGAUGAAGAUCGAUACGAUGCGGUUGAAGAUGGAUGCAAUGCGCUUGAAGAUGGAUGAAAUGUGCCUGAAGAUUAGGAAUAUUAGAAAAUAUGUCAUUGAUAAAGAGGCUUGGUAUCAUUAUGUUGUUUGGUCAAUUGUUACCUUAGUUCCGAUUUUGAUCGCAUUUGUUGUUGCAUUUAAAAGUUUUACAUAGUUGUAUGUUGUUUUAGCAGAGAACUUUCUGUAUUUAUUUUUGGCAAUAAUAACAUUUGAUCACUACUGUGCUUUGGUUUUAAUGUGAUGAUGAACUUGUAUUAAUUUGGUCAUUUCUCUAUUCAUGAUGUUCUGCAAUGGUUUUUUGAUAUUCUUAAUUUCAUAAUAGAGAUGAACUGCCAAUGGAUGUACGGUGACCGAUGCACUUCGGAGUACAUUACGAACCGGGACUAAUGCCCGAGUCACACUUAAGUUCACACAACAUGGUAUCCUGGACCGAGGUUAGCAACCUUAUCCUUUUCAUCUGUAAUUGAUACAAAUAUAUUGCAUGUGUCAAUGUACGGUGGUCAUUUCACUAUUCAUGUAUGAUGCCAGAUCGAUGCACGGAAGCGAUGGAUGUACGGCGAAUGAUGUGGUUACGGAUGUAUCGCAGACCUGCAUAAAUAUAUCGAUGUGGCUGAGGCAAACAAAGUGGAUAAUUUUAUGCCUUGUUCAUGUGUUGGUUGUCGAAACGUGAAGGAGUACUCUAGCUCGAAAACCAUUCAUCUCCACUUGCUUCAGAGAGGUUUCAUGCCCACAUAUUAUUGUUGGACCAUGCACACAGAAGGAGGGGUUAGGAUGGAAGACAAUAAAGAAGAAGAUGAUGAUGACAACUAUCCUAUGUUCACUGAAGAAUACAGUGAUACUACAAUGAAAGACAAUGAAGAAGAAGGAGGUGAAGAACAACUGGCAUCAGAUGAUCCCGCUGAUGGUCUUGGUCGGGUCAUUUCUGAUGCAAAGAGAGAAUGUGAUACAGAAAAGGAGAAGCUGAAGUUGGAGGCCAUGCUAAAGGAUCAUAAAAAGUUGUUGUACCCAAAUUGCAAAGAUGGCAGCACAAAGCUCGGUACCACACUGGAAUUGUUGAAAUGGAAGGCAGAAACUGGUUUAUCUGACAAGAGAUUUGAGAAGUUACUAAAAAUAUUGAAGCCGAAGCUUCCAAAGGAUAACAAAUUGCCCAAGACUACGUACCAAGCAAAGAAGGCUAUCUGCCCUCUUGGAUUAGAUGCGCAGAAGAUACAUGAAUGCAUUAAUGACUGCAUCAUGUAUUGCGGUGAGAAGUACGAGAAUAUGGAUAAAUGCUCGGUAUGCACUGCAUGUCGGUACAAGAUCAGACAGGAUGACCCUGGUGAUGUUGAGGGCGAUGACGAGCCCCCAGGAAGAAGGUUCCUGCUAAGGUUAUGUGGUAUGCUCCUAUAAUACCACGGUUGAAACGUUUGUUCAGAAACAAUGAGCAUGCCAAGUUGAUGCGAUGGCACAAAGAUGAGCGUAAGAAAUCCUGGAAAAAGUUGAGACACCUCGCACAUGGGUCGCAGUGGAGGAAAAUCGAGAGGGAGUGGUCGGACUUUGCAGAUGACCCAAGGAACUUAUGGCUUGGUCUAAGUACAGACGGCAUGAAUCCUUUUGGGGAGCAGAGCUGCAGUCACAGCACCUGGCCUGUCAUUCUAAGUAUCUACAACCUUCCUUCUUGGUUGUCAUGAAGCGAAAGUUCAUUAUGAUGCGAGUGCUCAUCCAAGGACUGAAGCUACCCGGCAAUGACAUUGAUGUGUACAGAUACGUCUCCAUCGUAUCUACUUUGUCAAACUCUUUUGCCCUUGUUUUGGACUCUAAUUUGCAUGAUUUGAAUGGAACUAACCUGGACUGACGUUGUUUUCAGCAGAAUUGCCUUGGUGUUAUUUUUGUGCAGAAAUCAAAGUUCUCAAAACGUCCUGAAAAUUUACGGGGAACAUUUUUGGAAAAUAUGAAAAAUACUUGCGCAAAGAUCCACCUGAGGGGGUGGGCCAGUGGGUCAUAAGCCCUGCUACCGCCACCCCCUGGUGGCGGAUGGCAAGCUUGUGGGGCCCACACGGCUCUGCUGCCCACAAUCUCAGCUCUAUAAGUUUACUUUCGUCCCAGAAAAAUCAAGAGAGAAGAUUUCGUCGCGUUUGCGAUACGGAGGCGCCGCCACAACCUGUUCUUCAUCUGGAGGGCAGAUCUGGAGUCCGUUUUGGGCUACGGAGAGGGGAAAUCGUCGCCAUCGUCAUCAUCAACCUUCUUCCCUCUCCAAUUCCAUGAAGCUCUUCGUCGUUCGUGAGUAAUCUAUUCGUAGGCUCGCUGGGCGGUGAUGAGUAGGAUGAGAUCUAUCAUGUAAUCGAGUUAGUUUUGAUGGGGAUUGAUCCCUAGUAUCCACUAUUUUCUGAGAUUGAUGUUGCUACUACUUUGCCAUGCUUAAUGCUUGUCACUAGGGCCCGAGUGCCAUGAUUUCAAAUCUGAAAUUAUUAUGUUGUCACCAAUAUAUGUGUGUUUUAGAUCCGAUCUUGCAAGUUGUAGUUACCUACUAUGUGUUAUGAUCCGGCAACCCCGGAGUGACAAUAACCGGAACCACUCCGAGUGAUGACCAUAGUUUGAGGAGUUCAUGUGUUCACCAAGUGCUAAUGCGUUGGUCCGGUUCUUUAUUAAAAGGAGAACCUUAAUAUCCCGUAGUUUCCUUUUGGACCCCGCUGCCACAGGAGGGAUGGACAAUAGAUGUCAUGCAAGUUCUUUUCCCUAAGCACGUAUGACGAGACACGGAAUGCAUGCCUACAUCACAUUGACGAAUGGGAGCUAGCCACAUAUCUCUCCGUGUUAUAACUGUUGCAUGAUGAAUAUCAUCCAAACAAAUCACCGACCCAUUGCCUACGAGUUUGUCCUACUGUUGCUAUUACUUGUCUUGCUCUGCUGCUGUUACAUGUCUUGCUCUGCUGAUGUUACUUGUCUUGAUCUGCUGCUACUGUUGCUACUACUUUCGCUUGCUACUGUUGCUACUUGCUACUGCUGUCACUACUGUUGUUCCUUGCCACUGCUAUUACUCGUUACACUGCUGCUACCUGCUACAAUCUUGAUUCGCUCGACGUUGACGGGAAAAGAAAAUUUCCGUCAACGGGCAACUUGGCGCCAUUGAAUCAGUCGUUAGGAAUAGUCUGUCAUCAACAGAUCGUUUCUGACACCGUUGUUAUCAUACUACUUUGUUGUUACUACUUUGCUUGCAGAUACUAAUCUUUCAGGUGUGGUUGAAUCUGACACAUUCAGCUGCUAAUACUCGAGAGUAUUCUCUCACCUCCUGUUUGGCGAUCAACAAAUUUGGGUCGAAUACUCUACCCUCGAAAACUGAUGCGAUCCCACGCGCUGGUGGGCCAUCAACAACAUUCUUCCAGUUUCAAUUGCCGGAGAGUGCUAGCAGCAUUCUUCUGGUGCCGUUGCAGGGGAAGGUCUUCUAUCACGGAAUCAUGUACCUAAGGCCAUUAGUUGAUUAACUUUUGCAGUAGUGGGCCAAACCAGGUGUACGUGUGUGGGAUGAGCACAAACAACAGGAACUUGACCUACGAGCAUUGUUGUUUGUAACCAUCAAUGGUUGGCCUGCUCUUAGUAACAUUUCAAGACAGUCAAACAACGGAUACAAUGCAUGCACGCACUGUUUAGAUAAGACUAAGGGUGCAUAUUUGGAAAAAUCUAAGAAGGUUGUCUACCUGGCGUGUCGUCAAUUUCUUCCGACCAAUCAUCCCGUUAGAAAGAAAGGCAAGCAUUUCAACGGUGAGGCAGAUCACCAGAAGAAGCCUAACCUCUACUGGUGAUGAGUUAUUGGCUAUGGUAAAGGAUUUUGAUCAAAUAGUAAUCUUUGGAAAGGGUCCUGGUGGUCAAUCUAUUCCGAAAGACGACGUUACCGGACACGUGCCCAUGUGGAAAAAGAAAUAUUUAUUUUGGGAGCUACCCUAUUGGAAACACCUAGAGGUCCAGUCUUCAAUCGACGUGAUGCACGUGACGAAGAAUCUUUGCGUGAACCUUCUAGGCUUCCUGGGAGUGUAUGGGAAGACAAAAGAUACAACAGAAGCGCGGGAGGAGCAGCAACGUAUGAAAGACCCGUACGACAAGGAGACUCAUAAAGUGCGUCAAUACUUAAGCAGCUACGCUCUUACGAAAGCAGAGAAGGAAAUAUUUUUUUGAAUGCCUGAGCAGUAUGAAGGUCCCCGCUGGCUUCUCGUCUAAUAUAAAGGGAAUAAUAAAUAUGGCAGAGAAAAAAUUCCAAAACCUGAAGUCUCAUGAUUGCCACUUGAUUAUGACGCAGUUGCUUCCCGUUGCAUUGAGGGGGCUUCUACCGGAAAAUGUUCGAUUACCCAUUGUGAAGCUAUGUGCAUUCCUCAAUGCAAUAUCUCAGAAGCUAAUCGAUCGAGAACGUCUGGAAAGGCUACAGAAGGAUGUGGUCAAAUGUCUUGUCAGUUUUGAGUUGGUGUUCCCCCGUCCUUCUUCAGUAUUAUGACGCAUCUCCUGGUUCACUUAGUCGACGAGAUCUCCAUCCUCGGUCCUGAAUUUCUACACAAUAUGUUCCCCUUCGAGAGGUUCAUGGGAGUCUUAAAGAAAUAUUUUCAUAAUCGUGUUAGGCCAGAAGGAAGCAUCUCCAAGGGCUAUGGAACAGAGGAGGUCAUUGAGUUUUGUGUGGACUUUCUUCCUGACCUUAAGCCGAUUGGUGUUCCUGAAUCUCGGUAUGAGGGUAGGCUAACAGGAAAAGGCACACUAGGAAGGAAAGCAAAAGUAUGUAUGGACGGGCAUUCUUUCUCUCAAGCACACUACACAGUUCUACACAAUUCCACCGUGGUGGCUCCGUAUAUCGUGAGACACAAGAAUAUUCUACGCUACGAAAACCCGGGAAAGGCUGCUCUUGGAUUAAAUGGGAACACGAGAAGACUUUCGGCAUUUGGUUGUAGACACAUCUCAUGAAUGACGACACCGUUGGAGAUCAGCUGUACUGUUUGGCCAGGCCACCAUCUUCGACUAUAUGUACUUCCCAAGGGUAUGAGAUAAAUGGGAAUACAUAUUACACGGUUGCCCAAGAUAAAAAGAGCACCAACCAAAAUAGUGGUGUCUGCUUUGAUGCAACACACGAGAAUGGGCACUGUUUGGAAACAUAUUACGGGUACAUAGAGGAGAUAUGGGAACUUGACUAUGGACCUACUUUUAAGAUCCCUUUGUUUCGGUGCAAAUGGGUGAAGCUGACAGGAGGCGGGGUAGUUGUCGACCAAAAGUACGGCAUGACAACAGUGGAUCUCAACAAUCUUGCGUACAUGGAUGAACCAUUUGUCCUAGCCAAUGAUGUCGCUCAGGUUUUCUAUGUGAAGGACAUGUCUACAAAAACGAGAAAACGAAAUCAGCAAAAGAAGAUAUCGUCCGAUGAGCCAAAACGCCACAUAGUUCUUUUAGGAAAAAGAAACGUUGUGGGAGUAGAUGACAAGACAGACAUGUCAGUAGAUUAUAAUAAGUUUCAUGAAAUUCCGUCCUUCAAAGUGAAAACUGACCCAAGCAUCCUACUGAAUGAUGAAGAUUCUCCAUGGCUACGACCCAGAAGAAAACAGAAAUAAUAGAUAGGAAUAUUGGUGCAAUAAUGUAAUAAUGUAUUAAACCUUUUAUGUAAUGCAUGUAUGGAAUGUACUAAACCUUUUAGUUUUGAAUUAUUUAUUCAAUUUCAAACACUUUUCAUUAUCAUAGUUUUGUCAAAUUCUCAAAUAUGCAAAAAGAAUUUUAAUAAACAUAGUUUUUAAUUGAAAAUAAACAAAAUAGUUAAUAGUUUGGAUAGUCAAAAUAAUUAAUUUUGAAAAUAGAAAAUAGUUUUGAAUUAUUUAUUCAAUUUCAAACACUUUUCAUUUUCAUAGUUUUGUCAAAUUCUGAAAUAUGCAAAAAGAAUUUUUAAUAAACAUAGUUUUUAAUUGAAAAUAACAAAAUAGUUAAUAGUUUGAAUAGUCAAAAUAAUUAAUUUUGAAAAUAGAAAAUAGUCUUGAAUUACUACUUCAAUUUCAAACACUUUUCAUUUUCAUAGUUUUGUCAAAUUCUCAAANNNNNNNNNNUACACUUUUCAUUAUCAUAGUUUUGUCAAAUUCUCAAACAUGCAAUAGAAAAGGUUGUCUACCCGGGGUGUCGUCAAUUUCUUCCGACCAAUCAUACCGUAAGAAAGAAAGGCAAGCAUUUCAACGGUGCGGCAGAUCACCGGAAGAACCCUAACCUCCCUACUGGUGAUGAGUUAUUGGCUAUGGUCAAGGAUUUGGAUCAAAUAGUAAUCUUUGGAAAUGGUCCCGGUGGUCAAUCUGUUCCAAAAGAUGACGUUACCGGACACGUGCCCAUGUGGAAAAAGAAAUCUUUAUUUUGGGAGCUACCCUAUUGGAAACUCCUAGAGGUCCGGUCUUCAAUCGACGUGAUGCACGUGACGAAGAAUCUUUGUGUGAACCUGUUAGGCUUCCUGGGAGUGUAUGGAAAGACAAAAAAAAUGAAAUCCCUUUGUAACAGAUGAGUUCACGUUCGAAACCCUCAUACUUCGAGAGAGACUGUCCGUUUUGUACAUGAAGUGCAUACAGUUUUUGCCGUAACCCUCUCGACUUUUUAGCACAUGCUAUGUGGGUGAAAUGAUGAUACCAUGCCAACUUUCAACAUUUUCAAAGUUCAUUUGUAGUGCCUUUCAAUUUCAGGGUCAACUAGCUAGCUCAAAGAAAAAUAAGUAAAUGCACGAAAAAUACCAAAUAAAGUUAGAAAUUGUUGAAAAUUUGUGAUGUGCCUUUUAAUGGUGCAUUUUGAACACACAAAAAUUAUGGAGUUCAAAUAAGUUCAAAAAAUGAAAUCCCUUUGUAAUAGAUGAGUUCUCGUUCGAAACCCUCAUACUUCGAGAGAGAUCGUCCGUGUUGUACACGAAGUGCAUCCAGUUUUUGCCGUAUCCCUCUCAACUUUUUAGAACAUGCUUUGCAGCAUUUUCAGAUUUCAUUUGUUGUGCUUAUCAAUUUCAAGAUCAAUUAGCUAAAAAAAAGUAAAUCCAUGAAAAAUACCAAAUGAAGUCGGAAGUUGUUGAAAAUUUGUGAUGUGCCUUUGAAUGGUGCAUUUUUAACUCACAAAAAGUAUGNNNNNNNNNNAUUCUCGUUCGAAACACUGAUACUUCGAGAGAGACUGUCCAUUUUGUACACCAAGUGCAUCCACUUUUUACCGUAACCCUCUCGACUUUUUAGCACAUGUUAUGUGGGUGAAAUGAUGAUACCAUGCCAACUUUCAACAUUUUCAGAGUUCUUUUGUAGUGCCUUUCAAUUUCAGGGUCAACUAGCUAGCCAAAAGAAAAAUAAGUAAAUGCAUGAAAAAUACCAAAUGAAGUCAGAAAUUGUUGAAAAUUUGUGAUGUGCCUUUAAAUGGUGCAUUUUGAACACACAAAAAGUAUGGAGUUCAAAUAAGUUCAAAAAAAAUGAAAUCCCUUUGUAACACAUGAGUUCUCGUUCAAAACCCUCAUACUUCGAGAGAGAUUGUUCGUGUUGUACACGAAGUGCAUCCAGUUUUUGUCGUAACCCUCUCAACUUUUUNNNNNNNNNNUGAAAUCCCUUUGUAACAGAUGAGUUCUGGUUGGAAACCCUCAUACUUCGAGAGAGAGAGAUUGUCCGUGUUGUACACGAAGUGCAUCCAGUUUUUGCCGUAACCCUCUCAACUUUUUAGCACAUGCUUUGUGGGUGAAAUGAUGAUACCAUGCCAACUUUCAGCAUUUUCAGAUUUCAUUUGUUGUGCUUAUCAAUUUCAGGAUCAAUUAGCUAAAAAAAGUAAAUGCACGAAAAAUACCAAAUGAAGUCGGAAAUUGUUGAAAAUUUAUGAUGUGCCUUUGAAUGGUGCAUUUUGAACACACAAAAAGUAAGGAGUUGAAAUAAGUUCAAAAAAAUGAAAUCCCUUUGUAACAGAUGAGUUCUCGUUCGAAACCGUGAUACUUCGAGAGAGAUUGUCCGUUUUGUACACGAAGUGCAUCCAGNNNNNNNNNNNNNNNNNNNNNNNNNNNNNNNNNNNNNNNNNNNNNNNNNNNNNNNNNNNNNNNNNNNNNNNNNNNNNNNNNNNNNNNNNNNNNNNNNNNNNNNNNNNNNNNNNNNNNNNNNNNGUGUGGGUGAAAUGAUGAUACCAUGCUAACUUUCAACAUUUUCAGAUUUCAUUUGUAGUGCUUCUCAAUUUUAGGGUCAACUAGCUCAAAAAAAUAAUUAAAUGCACGAAAAAUACCACAUGAAGUUAGAAAUUGUUGAAAUUUUGUGAUGCGCCUUCGAAUUGUGCUUUUUGAACACACAAAAUGUAUGGAGUUCAAAUAAGUACAAAAAAUGAAAUCCCUUUGUAACAGAUGAGUUCUCGUUCGAAACCCUCAUACUUCGAGAGAGACUAUCCGUUUUGUACACGAAGUGCAUCCAGUUUUUGCCGUAACCCUCUCAANNNNNNNNNNNNNNNNNNNNNNNNNNNNNNNNNNNNNNNNNNNNNNNNNNNNNNNNNNNNNNNNNNNNNNNNNNNNNNNNNNNNNNNNNNNNNNNNNNNNUGACACGAUCAACAUGCUACGUCUAUUAGUUUGGGUCUAGUCCAUCACAUGAUUCUCCUAAUGAUGUGAUCCCGUUAUCAAGUGACAACACUUGCCUAUGGCCAGGAAACCUUGACCAUCUUUGAUCAACGAGCUAGUCAACUAGAGGCUUACUAGGGAUAGUGUUUUGUCUAUGUAUCCACACAAGUAUUGUGUUUCCAAUCAGUACAAUUAUAGCAUGGAUAAUAAACGAUUAUCAUGAACUAAAAAUUAUAAUAAUAACUAAUUUAUUAUUGCCUCUAGGGUAUAUUUCCAACAACGCCCACGCCGGAGGAUGAACAACGACGAGUCGAACCGAGACACGGUGAAGCCGAGCGUGCGGAGGAAGGCGGUGAAGCGCGAGAACCAGGCGCGCGGAGCCUGCUUGAGGCCGUACAAGGAGCGGUUGAGGCGGCACACGCACGACGGGUGAGCGGAGUCGACGAAGCUGGCCGGUUGCUGGCUGUAGACCGUCUCGGCGAGGUGCCCGUGGAGGAAGGCGUUCUUCACGUCCAGCUGGUGAAUGGGCCAGGAGUGCCCGGCGGCGAUGCUGAGCACAGUCCGAACAGUGGCCGGCUUGACAACGGGGCUAAAAGUCUCGCCAUAGUCGACGCCGGCUUGCUGCGUGAAGCCGCGAAGGACCCACCGAGCCUUGUACCGAGCGAGCGUGCCGUCGGCGUUGAACUUAUGUCGGAAGAUCCAUUUUCCGGUCACCACGUUAGCACCUGCAGGACGAGACACCAAACACCAAGUAUCGUUCCUCAUUAGAGCAUCAUAUUCCUCAAGCAUGGCGUUGUACCAGUUGGGGUCUUGGAGAGCAACGCGGUAGGAGGAUGGGAUGGGGCUAAUGGAAGGAAUGGUGGUGUGCAGGGAGACGAUCUGUUUGGGGAGGGAGAUGCCGGACUUGGCCCGCGUGCGCAUGGCGUGGGUGUUGGUUGGCGGGCCAACAGGAACAGACCUAGGGGGAGGCGUGCUGGCGCUGCUGGGGGGAGCGGCCUGGCUGUCAGGAGCGGCUGGAGACGAGCCGCGGGGCACGGGGGGGGGGGGGGGGGNNNNNNNNNNNNNNNNNNNNNNNNNNNNNNNNNNNNNNNNNNNNNNNNNNNNNNNNNNNNNNNNNNNNNNNNNNNNNNNNNNNNNNNNNNNNNNNNNNNNCGUGACGGAGAGGUAUCUCGGGGCCCACUAGGUAAUACAACAUCACACACAAGCCUUGCAAGCAAUGUAACUUAAUGUAAGUUGCAGGAUCUUGUAUUACGGAACGAGUAAAGAGACUUGCCGGUAAACGAGAUUGAAAUAGGUAUGCGGAUACUGACGAUCGAAUCUCGGGCAAGUAACAUACCGAAGGACAAAGGGAAUGACAUACGGGAUUAUACGAAUCCUUGGCACUGAGGUUCAAAGGAUAAGAUCUUCGUAGAAUAUGUAGGAUCCAAUAUGGGCAUCCACGUCCCUCUAUUGGAUAUUGACCGAGGAGUCUCUCGGGUCAUGUCUACAUAGUUCUCGAACCCGCAGGGUCUGCACACUUAAAGUUUUGACGUUGUUUUAUGCGUAUUUGAGUUAUAUGGUUGGUUACCGAAUGUUGUUCGGAGUCCCGGAUGAGAUCACGGACGUCACGAGGGUUUCCGGAAUGGUCCGGAAACGAAGAUUGAUAUAUAGGAUGACCUCAUUUGANNNNNNNNNNCGUCACGAGGGUUUACGGAAUGGUCCGGAAACGAAGAUUGAUAUAUAGGAUGACCUCAUUUGAUUACCGGAAGGUUUUCGGAGUUACCGGGAAUGACGAAUGGGUUCCGGGUGUUCACCGGGGGGGCAACCCACCCCGGGGAAGCCCAUAGGCCUUGAGGGUGGCACACCAGCCCUUAGUGGGCUAGUGGGACAGCCCAAAAGGGCCCUAUGCGCCUAGAAGAGAAAAUCAAAGAGAAAAAAAGAGGAGGUGGGAAGGGAAGGAAGGACUCCCACCCACCAAACCAAGUCCAACUCGGUUUCGGGGGGGAGCCUUCCCCCUUGGACUUGGCCGACCCCCUUGGGGCUCCUUGAGCCCCAAGGCAAGGUUCCCUCCCNNNNNNNNNNUAUAAAGAUACUCUACAUGUAUCUCCGAAGGUGUUCGUUGAGUUAGUAUGGAUCGAGACUGGGAUUUGUCACUCCGUGUGACGGAGAGGUAUCUCGGGGCCCACUCGGUAAUACAACAUCACACACAAGCCUUGCAAGCAAUGUGACUUAGUGUAUGUUCCGGGAUCUUGUAUUACGGAACGAGUAAAGAGACUUGCCAGUAAACGAGAUUGAAAUAGGUAUGCGGAUAGUGACGAUCGAAUCUCGGGCAAGUAACAUACCGAAGGGCAAAGGGAAUGACAUACGGGAUUAUAUGAAUCCUUGGAACUGAGGUUCAAACGAUAAGAUCUUCGUAGAAUAUGUAGGAUCCAAUANNNNNNNNNNAGUAUGCGGAUACUGACGAUCGAAUCUCGGGCAAGUAACAUAUCGAAGGACAAAGGGAAUGACAUACGGGAUUAUAUGAAUCCUUGGCACAGAGGUUCAAACGAUAAGAUCUCUGUAGAAUAUGUAGGAUCCAAUAUGGGCAUCCACGUCCCGCUAUUGGAUAUUGACCGAGGAGUCUCUCGGGUCAUGCCUACAUAGUUCUCGAACCCGCAGGGUCUGCACACUUAAGGUUCGACGUUGUUUUAUGCGGAUUUGAGUUAUAUGGUUGGUUACCGAAUAUUGUUCGGAGUCCCGGAUGAGAUCACGGAUGUCACGAGGGUUUCCGAAAUGGUCCGGAAACGAAGGUUGAUAUAUAGGAUGGCCUCAUUUGAUUACCGGAAGGUUUUCGGAGUUACCGGGAAUGUACCGGGAAUGACGAAUGGGUUCCGGAUGUUCACCGGGGGGGCAGCCCACCCCGGGGAAGCCGAUAGGCCUUGAGGGUGGCGCACCAGCCCAUGGUGGGCUGGUGGGACAGCCCAAGAAGGCCCUAUGCACCAUAGAUAGAAAAUCAAAGAGAAAAGAAAAAAAGGGUGGGAAGGAAGGGAAGGACUCCACCUUCCAAUCCUAGUUGGACUAGGAUUGGAGGUGGACUCCUCCUCGUCCUUGGUGCGCGGCCCUUGGGGCUCCUUGAGCCUUAAGGCAAGCCUCUCCUCCCCUCCUCCUAUAUAUAUGGAGCUAUUAGGGCUGAUUUGAGACAACUUUUGCCACGGCAGCCCGACCACAUACCUCCACGGUUUUACCUCUAGAUCGCGUUUCUGCGGAGCUCGGGCGGAGCCAUGCUGAGAUUAGAUCACCACCAACCUCCAGAUCACCGUCACGCUGCUGGAGAACUCAUCUACCUCUCCGUCUCUCUUGCUGGAUCAAGAAGGCCGAGAUCAUUGUCGAGUUGUACGUGUGCUGAACGCGGAGGUGCCGUCCAUUCGGCACUAGAUCGUGGGACAGAUCACGGGACGGUUCAUGGGACCGUUCGUGGGGCGGAUCGAGGGACGUGAGGACGUUCCACUACAUCAACCACGUUUCUUAAUGCUUCUGCUGUGCGAUCUACAAGGGUACGUAGAUCGGAAAUCCCCUCUCGUAGAUGGACAUCACCAUGAUAGGUCUUCGUGCACGUAGGAAAUUUUUUGUUUCCCAUGCGACGUUCCCCAACACUAAGUACUCUGAAAUAGACAUGCCUUUAGCCUUGGCUGCUUCUCCGUAUAUUGCAACGAAUUCCGGAUCGAUAGUAGCUGUUUCAUCAUUCGGCUGCUCGACUACAGCUCUGCUCAAGCACACCUUUGUAUCGGAAUACACUUUGAGCGGGGGGCACGAUUGGUUUUUUUGUUGUCCGAGCUGGGCAACUGAUUUCCCGCUGGACGUACUACUCAUCAACCGCUGCUUUUUUGCCUGAGUCGACUUGAGAAUAGAGCGUUCAUAGUCUACUGGCAAUGGUGGCGGGGGAUCUGCAAGGUUUUUCAGCAUUUUGACGCACGCGACGUGUUCCUCUGGGGUGUUCGGGAACUCUGGCUCUUUCGGCUUCUUCUUGUGAGCUACUUCAGCCUUCCACUGUUGAUGCUGGGCGUCUGCCCUCUUAAUAUUGUCCUCUCUAGUAUAGUCGCAAGGUCUCUUCUCCAUAUCCUUAUGAGGUACUUUUGGAAGGUGCGACAACUUAAGUUUCGGUGAUCGGAACUUUCUGCCACCACUAUUAGCGGUGGUACAUUUCCGCAUUUUGCUCUGAUCCUCAGUGGACGGAGAUGGCUGACGGGGCGGUGGAGACAACUGACUGGGUGGUGGAGCUGGCUGAUGCGGCGGUGGAGACGGCUGCGCUGAAGACUGGUGAGGCGACGAAGACGACGGUUGCGCUGGAGACUGGUGAGGUGGAGGCAAAGAAGGAUUGCUGCUAUGAGGAGUCGGUAGCCUUGGCGUCCAAUUUGAAAGCAAGAUGUCCUUCUUUGGCCAUACAACGGUUUGUUUCUUGACUUCUCCAAGUUGAGUCAAAUCCCUAUCUUCACCUGCACGGUGGUCGAGCUUGGGCUCCUCAUAAUUUUUCAUCACUUCAUCCACCACGACGAGAGCGUACCCUUCUGGAACUGGAGAGCAAUGCCAAGUUGUAUUAUGUCCAAUUGGUAUGGUCAUGCCGACCGCCACCAUCAACCUUAAGUUAACAACUUUCACCUUUAUCUCACAAGGUGUGGUCUCUGUGAUAUCAUCCACUUGGUAGCGACGAGGAGGAUCCGUCGUCAGUGCGUCAUCACUAUCAUCCUGAAGCUGCGUGGAAGCGACACUGCUUUUCCGAUUCGAUGCAACUUCUAUCAUGAGAUUGACCGCUACCUUGUUGUUUGUCGAUUUGAUCCUGCUGCAGCCACUUUACUUCUUCUUCUAGAUUAUGCAGCCGGUCUGCCUCAACCACUUUAUCACGUGCCUCCUUUUCCUUUCUUCUCUUAUGGCUUCUAUGGGGAAAUCUCUUCCUUUCCUCGGAGAACGCAAGCAUCCACGGCGGGGAGCCUCGUAAGCCUCGUGCUCGCCCUUUGUGUUCCUUAUUCCCAAGGGCAAUUGUGAGCUCGUCGUUCUCUCUAUCGGGUAAGAAACGUCCCUCUUCAACAUCCUGUACUGCACGUCUAAUAUCCUAGAUGGGUAGGGGAUUAUCUUUGUGACUUUGGUUAUAUAUUGCCUUCCCUUCUUCGUCCAACAAGCCCCCAUGCCCGUAAAACUAGUUUCUUCCCCGUUCGAGCCAUCUUAAGGGCUCUAGAGUGAUAUUUUUUUUCCAGAAAUGAUGCCUCAAGUGCUUUCCACUUAGCCAUCUUACCGCCGUAGCCACCAGGCCCCAUAAUAUGAUGGUACUUUUUCUUACCUGCUUUCAUCCUAUUUGCUGCAGACUUUUUCAAGGCGUCCUCCGAUUUCUUAUAUGCCACAAAUUCGGCCCAGUAGUCUUUAAUCUUCUCAUAGCCGCGAUCGAAAUCUGGAGUCUUAUCUUUCAAGAUAAAAUCCUGGUGCAAUCUUUUUUUCCAGCCCGUGAAUAGAUUGGCCAUCUUCUGAAGAACCCACUCCUUGACUUUUUCUCUAGGGCCUCUUUUCGCCUCUUCAUUUCCUCCUCAUUUGGCUCCUCCUCAUCUGGAUCCACCUUUGGUGCCGGCAGGGUGAAAUGAAGCAUGAGCUUUCUCCAAAGGUUUUCUUUGGUUGUUGUACCGACAUAUGAGACUCCUUCCUCCUUUGGCUUAAUCCAUUCUCGAGUGAUAGGGAUGUGGUCCCUAACAACAACUCCGCAUGCCUUCACAAACUUCUGCUUUACAUCCGUGGGAGCAAUUGGUUGCCCGACAUUUGAGACUGUUUCCAUCCUGUAUCUCUCACCAUCAUCCAAUAUCUUGGUUGGGCCUCGUUUCGUCCGUACUGAAGAUUUGCUCGAUCUGGAAGGCUAAAAGAAAGAGCGCUAAUAUAUGUAUAUAGACAAUAGAGGAUUAAUUUAUUAAUAUAUAUAUGCACCUCACGGGAGCGGUCAGCUUCUCCCUCGUCGGCUUCUUCCAUAUUGGAGCCGCCGAUUCCUCCCUCGCCCGAGGUGUGGGCGUCUACCUUACCGGAGCUUCUACCUCGUGUGUUGAGAGACUCAUCUUCCUCGCCAUACUCAUUCAGAAACUGAUUGGUGACAUUGACAUCGCGAACUAAAAUAUCAUCCCCGCGGAUGACACCAUGCAUCAUGUCUUCCUCAUAUUCGUCUCUGCCGUGUAUUGGACCCAUAGUACCUACAAAUUAAUUAAACAUCAUCGAAUAAUACACUUAAUUAAUGCAUUAUCGAAUAAUCCACUUAAUAUUUCUCGAAUAUAUAAUCUGAAAUACAUAAAUAAUACAUCUUUCGAAUACAGUAAUACAUCGAAUAAUAUAUAACUGAUCAACCAACAAAGAGCCGUCGUUGUACUGAGGCGCGGGCGGUGGACACCCAAAGAGCAGGGACCAUCACCCGAUCAUAGCUCGGGUGAGAUCCCUAAAGUACCUGCCAGGUACUGGAGAACCUGGCAUCCAACGCCUCCAUAUAGCGACGAACGUGCUGGUCCUCCUCCCUCACACGGCGACGUACGUCCUCCUCGGGGGCCAACAACCUAGGCACCGAAAGUGGCCCCCGCGACCGCCACCAAAGAAGCUGCGGGUCGAUGAUGGGAGCCUAGGUCCUCACCAAGCUGCGCGCCCCGGAAGGUAACUCCUCCCAAUGCCAGCCCGGCGGAGCCCAGUCCCGCACAUGCUGGCACCUAUCAAGCAGGUGGUCGCCACCGAGUCGAUGACGAGAUGCGGGCCGGGCAUCGUAUGUCCUACUAUUUAAAUUCCUACUAUUUAAUAAACUUUUCUAAACUUGUACUGCCCCGUUCCAAAAUAUAAGACCGUGACUUCAUUUGAUAUUUUUCGUGCAUUUACUUAUUUCUGACUUCAUUUGGUAUUUUUCAUGCAUUUACUUAUUUUUUUGAGCUAGUUGACCCUGAAAUUGAAAAGCACUACAAAUGAGCUUUGAAAAUGUUGAAAGUUUCCCUAUAUCAUCAUUUCACACACAUAGCACGUGCUAAAAAUUUGAGAGGGUUACGAAAAAAGCUGGAUGCACUUCGUGUUCAAAACGGACAAUCUCUCUCAAAGUAUCAGGGUUUCGAACGAGAACUCAUCUGUUAUAAAGGGAUUUCAUUUUUUCAAACUUAUUUGAACUCCAUACUUUUUGUAUGUUUAAAAUGCACCAUUCAAAGUCACAUCACAAAUUUUCAACAAUUUCUGACUUAAUUUGAUAUUUUUCGUGCAUUUACUUAUUUUUUUAAGCUAGUUGACCAUGAAAUUGAAAAGCACUACAAAUGAACUCUGAAAAUGUUGAAAGUUGGCAUGGUAUCAUCAUUUCACCCACNNNNNNNNNNUUUGAGAGGGUUACAACAAAAACUGGAUGCACUUCGUGUACAAAACGGACAAUCUCUCAAGAAGUAUCAUGGUUUCGAACGAGAACUCAUCUGUUACAAAAGGAUUUCAUUUUUUUUGAAAUUAUUUGAACUCCAUACUUUUUGUGUGUUCAAAAUGCACUAUUCAAAGGCACAUCACAAAGUAUCAUUAGUACACAUCACAUAAAGUUUAAUACAUUAGUACACAUCACAUCAAAUUUAAUACAUUACAUAGAUUUAUAUUUCGAUCCCUUGCCUAUGAUCGCUUUGCCCGUAAUCAUGGAGCAUCUUCAUUAUUUAACGGGAUGCUUGGAUCAAUUCUCACUAUGAAGGGCGGAAUUUUAUCAAACUUAUUAUAAUCUGCUGACAUGUCUGUCUUGUCCUCGAUCCCCACGAUGUUUCUUUUCCCAGAAAGAACUAUGUGACGCUUUGGCACAUUGUCCGAUGUAUUCAUUUGCUUUUUUUUUUUUGGUCUGGAGGACAUGUCUUUCACGUAGAAAACCUGAGCCACAUCAUUGGCUAGGACGAAUGGCUCGUCUCUGUAACCAAGAUUCUUGAGAUCAACUGUUGUCAUUCCGUACAAUUGGUCUACCAUUAUCCCUUUUCCAUUCAUGUUCACCCAACUACACCGAAACAAAGGGACCUUAAAAGUAGGUCCGUAGUCAAGUUCCCAUAUCUUCUCUACGUAACCAUAGUAUGUGUCCUUUUUCCCAUUCUCGUCUGUCGCAUCAUAGCGUACACCACUGUUUUGGUUGGUGCUCUUUUUAUCUUGGGCGGUCGUGUAAAAUGUAUUUCCAUUUAUCUCGUACCCUUGGAAACGUAAUACAGUCGAAGAAGGUGACACGGCCAACAAGUAGAGUUGAUCUCCAACAGUGUUGUCAUUCAUGAGACAUGCUCGCAACCAACUGCCGAAAGUAUCCAUGUGUUUUUAUUCAAUUCAGGAGAUUGCCUUCCCCGGGAACUCGGAGCAUACAAAUUUCUUGUGCUCCUCGAAAUACGAAGCCACGAAGGUGGAACUUUUUAGAACUGUGUAGUGUUCUUCAGUGAAAGAAUGCCCGUCCCUACAUAUCACUGCUUUGUUUCCUAGUGUGCCUUUUCCACUCAAUCUCCCCUCAUGCCGCGAUUCAGGAACACCAAUCGUCUUAAGGUCAGGAAGAAAGUCUACACAGAACCCAAUGACCUCCUCUGUUCCAUAGCCCUUGGAGAUGCUUCCUUCUGGCCNNNNNNNNNNUAGUCCAACUCGGUUUGGGGGGGGGAGAGUCCUCCCCCUUGGACUCGGCCGACCCCCUUGGGGCUCCUUGAGCCCCAAGGCAAGGCCCCCUCCCUCCCACCUAUAUAUACGGAGGUUUUAGGGCUGAUUUGAGACGACUUUUCCACGGCAGCCCGACCACAUACCUCCACGGUUUUUCCUCUAGAUCGCGUUUCUGCGGAGCUCGGGAGGAGCCCUGCUGAGACAAGAUCAUCACCAACCUCCGGAGCGCCGUCACGCUGCCGGAGAACUUUUCUACCUCUCCGUCUCUCUUGCUGGAUCAAGAAGGCCGAGAUCAUCGNNNNNNNNNNCGGAGCCCUGCUGAGACAAGGUCAUCACCAACCUCCGGAGCGCCGUCAUGCUGCCGGAGAACUCUUCUACCUCUCUGUCUCUCUUGCUGGAUCAAGAAGGCCAAGAUCAUCGUCGAGCUGUACGUGUGCUGAACGCGGAGGUGCCGUCCGUUCGGUACUAGAUCGUGGAACUGAUCGCGGGAUUGUUCGCGGGGCGGAUCGAGGGACGUGAGGACGUUCCACUACAUCAACCGCGUUCUCUAACGCUUCUGUUGUACGGUCUACAAGGGUACGUAGAUCACUCAUCCUCUCUCGUAGAUGGACAUCACCAUGAUAGGUCUUCGUGCGCGUAGGAAAAUUUUUGUUUCCCAUGCGACGUUCCCCAACAAAAACCGUGGAGAUAUGUGGUCGGGCUGCCAUGGCAAAGUUGUGUCAAAUCAGCCCUAAAACCUCUGUAUAUAUAGGAGGAGGAGGGGGAGCCUUGCCUUGGGGUCGAAGGACUCCCAAGGGGGUCGACCGAGCCAAAGGGGGCAACCCUCCCCUUCCAAACCGAGUCCAACUAGGUUUUGGAAGGAGGAGUCCUUCGCCCUUUUCCCACCUCCUCUUUUUUUUCUCUUUGAUUUUUCUUCCUAUGGCGCAUAGGGAUUUCUUGGGCUGUCCCAUCAACCCACUAAGGGCUGGUGCGCCACCCCUAAUGCCUAAGGGCUUCCCCGGGGUGGGUUGCCCCCCCCCCNNNNNNNNNNCGUACGAUCUACAAGGGUACGUAGAUCACUCAUCCCCUCUCGUAGAUGAACAUCACCAUGAUAGGUCUUCGUGCGCGUAGGAAAUUUUUUGUUUCCCAUGCGACGUUCUCCAACAGACGUGACCUUGCCUACCUGCUGUUGUACGUGGAUGACAUCAUCCUCACCGCCAGCUCCGACGGGCUUCUUCAGCACAUCAUCGCCUCGCUGCAUGCUGACUUCUCCAUGACGGACCUCGGUCUCCUGCACCACUUCCUCGGCAUCAACGUCACCACCACCGACGCUGGGCUCUUCCUCUCCCAGGAACAGUACACCCUCGAGAUCCUCGAUCGCGCCGGCAUGCUCAACUACAAGCCCAUCUCCACGCCGGUCGACACGCUCUCCCAGCUCUCCAUCGACGCUGGGCCNNNNNNNNNNNNNNNNNNNNNNNNNNNNNNNNNNNNNNNNNNNNNNNNNNNNNNNNNNNNNNNNNNNNNNNNNNNNNNNNNNNNNNNNNNNNNNNNNNNNCGAGAUCAUCGUCGAGUUGUACGUGUGCUGAACGCGGAGGUGCCGUCCGUUCGGUACUAGAUCGUGGGACUGAUCGCGUGAUUGUUCGCGGGGCGGAUCGAGGGACGUGAGGACGUUCCACUACAUCAACCGCGUUCUCUAACGCUUCUGCUGUACGAUCUACAAGGGNNNNNNNNNNNNNNNNNNNNNNNNNNNNNNNNNNNNNNNNNNNNNNNNNNNNNNNNNNNNNNNNNNNNNNNNNNNNNNNNNNNNNNNNNNNNNNNNNNNNNNNNNNNNNNNNNNNNNNNNNNNNNNNNNNNNNNNNNNNNNNNNNNNNNNNNNNNNNNNNNNNNNNNNNNNNNNNNNNNNNNNNNNNNNNNNNNNNNNNNNNNNNNNNNNNNNNNNNNNNNNNNNNNNNNNNNNNNNNNNNNNNNNNGACGUUCCCCAACAAUGUUCUCCUUUCGACUUGGUACGAUUAAAAGGUAUUCGAUCUACCGCAAGUUAUUUCCUCUUCUCAUGUCGAAUGUUGGAACCUUGCAGAAUUCUUAUGCAGUCUUCUACGAUACUACCCCAUACCAUACAAUUGAUUUGCUAGCAUGAUCAUGACCGGAUCUUCUAUGAUUAUGACCGACAGACACACAAGCAGUUGUUUCAGGCAUCCUGUUCUAAUGCCCGGUCAUAGUCAAUGUGCAUCAAGUCAUGGGUUAGAGUCUAUAAGGAGCCUGUCCAAUUGCAUACACUAGAUUUGAUCGGGGGGUAUUACAUUUUGACAAAAAAAAUCAUAUAUAUUUUUUAACCAGAUGAAUAAAAGAUACCAGUGAAAUAGAUGUACACUAUUGAAGUUAUGUGUUCUUCUAUUUCAUGUUUUGUACAAGGUAAGUGAGAACACAACUUGACAACUACACCACAAGUAGUCUAUUUAAGGUUUCUAAACUUUAGUAUAUAUAGUUAAACAUAUAUAUUCUUGGUUCGUCAUACGACUAUCACAAGAGUACUAGACACCAUUAUAUAUAUAUAAUAUAUGACAUUUUAAAAAGCACAAGAUAGACAUGUUUAGGACAAAUGUGCACGAAUGAUGCAUGGUAGACAUGAUUGAAAAUAUUCUGAUUUUGUUGGCAACUACUUUCUUUCUGUUCAAAAGUGAAUGCAUACUAAAUAUUUUGGUUGGCGGUCAAAGUUUGAUGUAAGCAUCAUGGUUCUUUGGAUGGUGAAAAUUCAUACAUUAUAAUUUUCAACAUGAUUUACACCUUUGGUAAUAGAUUAUCAAAUCUUCAAUUAUAAGUCAUGGAAUUUACAUGAUUUGAGGCAUUAAGUUUUGAAUCUUUUGUAUGGAGAAGAUUAGACUAACCAAUUUGGUGAAGAUUUUGUCACAAGUUCGGUAGAUGAACAUUAAUUGUCGAUGGUAGAAAAAUAUACCAUGUAUAGUAUCAUUUAAGAUGAUUUUAAUUUUUUCAUGUUAAUGAGGAAUUUGGACAUCCCUCGAACCUUGGAAAUCCAAAAUAGAUGUUAUGAAUUCAUUACAAUUGCAGCCACCUUUCUUAUUUUGCUGCAUGUAUAAAUAUUUUUUAUAUAUACAAAGCAGAGCGAAGUGAUGUGCACCACAACUUGCAUAGGGUUGGAGAAGAAAAACAGAUUUUGCAAUUGAAAAUUUCUAGAAAGCUAAAUUGUACAGUUUCCGUAUUUAACAAAGUAUGUUAUUAUUAUUAUUAUCAAAUUUUGAAUAUUAAUUUCUUUGUAUAAUUUUUAAUAUUACCACACAAUUAUGUAUGUGUACUAUUGCUAGAAUAUUUAUCAAAGAAUAUAAAUAAUAAUAUCAUCUGCAAUACCAUAUCAAUAUUUAGAUUCCUCACUCAAUAUAAUUUCAAAUCAUCUAUACAUAUCUUUUUAAAACAUUCAGAUUGUUCUGUAUAAAUUUUUGACUUAGGAAAAAUCUAAUAUGAAUGUAAAUUGAAACAGAGGAAGUAUAAAAACUAGGCCCUACAAGGACGCAGCUUAAUGAAUUAAAUUUCUGAGGACAUACUCACUCUCACUCAUCAUUGUAGGCUAGGCCGUGCGAAUGCACGGGUUGACGACUAGUACUUCUAUUUUCGUUCACAACACUCUCAAAGCUUGUUUUUUGGAACGGUCCCAUAAAAUAAAUUUGAUGUGCCACCUUAUUUAACACGGAAAGUAACGGUAACUAUAUAUUAAUUUAUAUAUAGAUCCUAGUAUCAAAUACGAGACAUCUCAUAAUAAAAGACAAUAAAUGAUGGUUGUUUUGGAUACAACACUAGGAUAUAAGGCCACUGCCAAUGCACCAUAUUUGAAGAUAUAUCUUAUAUUUUAAUUAUGUGUUUAGAUACAUCUUCUCCCUCUAAAAGUACUCUUAUUUAAUGCGUUUUGUGAGAGAGAAAAAACACUGGCUUUCCUGAUAUUUAUGUUGCCAGCUAUAUCAAGACUAAGAUAUAGUUAUACUAUAUUUCCUCACGAAAUGUGGUGCCACAUCAGAUUUUUGCCUAGGUGACAUGAUUUACGCUAGUCAUAGUGGGGCCUAACUUAGACUAGUGUCAUCCAUACGACACAUGUCUAGUUAAUAUCUUCAUAGUAUAAAGUAUCACAGAAAUGAUAUCAUAGAUGGUUGCAUUUGUUAGGUUGUAGACUCAUUUUUCCAUGGGUUGCGUUAGGUUACGGUACUCCCUCCGUCACGGUUUAGAAGGCGUGCAUGCAAAUUCUCUUGGACCUAGGUGGUUAUUAAUUGGCUGUGAAAUGAGUUAUAAAAUAGCAUUCACACUACGCAUGCAUAUAGAAGUAAUACAACGGAGUACUAAUUAGUUGUUAGGAGUAAAUGCAACGUGCCUUAAUCUUUGUCUAUUUUGGAAACACACGCAAGUCUAAUUGUGUGUUCUAAACCGUGACGGAGGGAGUAACAUAUUAUGUUACCAUAAACAUCUCUCUCUUUAUUAACUAUUGCCACAUAAAAAAAACUUGCAUUGGGAGGCAUUAUAUUACUAGCCAAGUUACUCAAACUAUGACACUGGUCACAAUACGAAGUAUCAUAUACUACUAUCAUGCAUAUGAUACUAGUGUAUGAUACUACUCCCACAAUACAUAUUAUCAUACCUUGGUAUCAUAGAUUCCUCAUUUAUUAAUAUGCAUGACACAAGCUACUACAUCAUUUAAUAUGAUAUGAAUACUCAACCUUCUCUUUCCUUAUUUAAUUGUAUGACACCUAUGUAAAACUGUCUACUAGUUGAUAUGCAUGAUACUACCUAUGAUACUCCCCAUUGUGACCAGCCUGACUAGCCUUAGAUGUAGUCCUAUAUCUUGGAGCAAUGGGACUGCCCUAGUGCAUUGAAAUUGCUAUCUAACCUUGUAUUUAAUGUCACUAGAUAUACUUGUUCUAUCUAAAACUUAAUCUUAUGACAAAUGCAUUAUUUAAUACUUAUGCGACUUCUACUGUAUCAUUAUCUGAAUUUUGUUAGACAUCUGAUGCUUUUGGACGGAGGAAGUAGCUUGAGAUAUACCAUUUCUCUUCGAUUUAUAAGGUUUAUCUUAAAAUUUUAGUUUUUACAUUUUAUAAGUUAAUUUAAUUGUUUCCCAUCACAUAUUCAAAUUUCAAGGCGCAUUAAUUCGCUAUAUGCAAGGAUUAAUAGAAAACUCAUCAGUGCAUGUAAAGACAUUUGGUCAUUUAUUGGACACACAUGCAUGCAUCACAAUUAAUUCAUUGGUAAACACAAAUUUUCGAGAUAAACGAGUGUAUUAGUGGAGUACUUUUGUAAACUAUAAAAAUCAUUCCACCACUCAUCAUCUACUAUCUUGGUUGUUGAGAUUUUUGAAUUGAGCCCUAUAUACCAGAAGGGAGGUAGUAGUGCAUUGGACUAGACUACCCUUACUCUAGAUGAUCCCCUAUAAUUUAGAGGAGUAUCCAGACGAGUAAAGGUUAGUGGAGGUUUUACUCCAAUUUGUUUUGGACGGACCAAGCCUCUCUCGUAGUUUCAGUGGAGUAAAAAGAAAAUUUGGAUAUGAUGAACAAACUUUCAAUUUAAACAAACAUCUAUUUUUUGACACAUAGCUCAUUACCAUCCGCUAAAACAUAUUCUAGUUUAAACCGACAAUUAAAAUUUAGUAAUCCGAUUUUGCAAGCGCCAGCAAAUCCACUCUAGACUUCCUACCAACCAUACAGUCACGCCGCGGGCCAUCAUUGCCGCAGCCAGGGAAGAUUCUUUGCCAUUAUUUAGUGCCAAAGUUGAUGUCGUCGCGGCCCCGCUGCCUCUAUUGCCCCCCUGUCCCUUGAGAGGACGCUGUCCCCCACCCCAUCGGUCGCUCGCUGGUCCUAUAGGCGGCGUUCCUCCUCCAUGAGCUCAUGGUACUGGCAGCGAAGGUCCGACCCACCGUGAGCCGCUCCCUCACCUUGCCCUUCCCACCCAUGCAUUCACCACCCUUGGCUCAACCGGAUCAGCAGCGGGACCUCACCCCAUUCAACAUUCCAGUGGCCCAUGGCACUGUGUAGCUGGACUGACAGAAUACCAUACUCAUGUGUCGCGAGCUUGGCGUUGUGGAAUGAUCCAAGACAUAUCUUUUUAUGGGUCUCCUGAUUCGUAAUCUCAGCCACACAUGUCCCCAACGCCCGCUACCGCACGUCGUGGUACUGCCUCUGUGGCGACGGUGGCUUGGGGAGGUCAGGGAAGCCGGUAAGCCUAUUGGAAGGGGCCCCAGCGCCACGGCGUCGGUGUGAGGAGAAUGCAGCUCUCCGCUCAUGGUGGCGCGGAUCCGCGCUGUGGAUGAGCGGCUGGGAGCAAAGGCCACGAGAUCCGGCCAUGGAGGCAUUAGUCGGCAAGAGCGAUGGGGAGGAGUCACCGACGAUACGGAAUUUGCCACGUGCGGGGGGAGGGGGNAAAUGCCCACCUUCGUUGGGGUCUGAGGGAUAGAAUUCCAUAUGCUUGGAUGAUUUGCUUGUCCGUAAUAAAACGCACCUUAUUUGGUUUGGGCAAUUUGGUCCCCACCAAAAAUUAAAGGGUAGCCCGCAUGUUUCUCAGGAGAUUCAGCAAAGCAAAAUUUGAUGAAAGGAGUCCCCAAAAUUUGUUGUCUUGCAUACUUAUACAAAGGUCAAAUCCUUUGGCCUUGGUGCUUCGGCACGAUUGUCUACUACUAUGCUCUUCCAUUUCUGUUUGGGGGUCAUGAGAUUGGCUUCGGAUGCUUCCACAAAUUUCCUCACAAAACGUCCACUUCGUUAGAGCAUCUGGAACCGGACCCAAACAUCCGGAUGGACUGUCCGGUUAGUGACAGGAUGAAAAAAUGCAACUCAAUCAAGCACCCUGUUUUCAGCACAAAACACUCAGACUAACCGGCACUCCCCGUAUCAAGCCUAAAUUUGGAACCGAAUCGACAUAAAUUUGACCUUGUUAGCACCCCGGCCAAAAUCUAAGCAACAUUCCACUCCACCCCCUCCCCUCCCCUCCCACACUAUCAAGAUCCUAUCCGACUAGCUCUGGUGUUCUCCUCCAUGGCAACGACGACUUCGACAUGCCCGAAUCCGAGCGCUAGGAGAUCAUCCCUUGCAGCCCCGAGCUGUAGAUGGCCAUCCGUGCUGCCCUCCAACGCUCACAGCAGGCGUGCACCCUCCCGCAGUCUUCAGCGAGCCGACGGGAGUCCAUUGCCACCUGAUGGUCGGAUUCGGGUCUUGCAGCUCUUGCCAUGCGUUGCCGGUAGCGGUCCCCACAAACACUUGGCAGAAUCCUUGCAUGCCGCCAGAACCUUUUAGGUGGCAACUUGUCCCAAUGGCAUGGUGCGCUGAAAAGGAGGCCAUUUAAGACUCCAUGACGAGCAGUGAACCCAAAAAUAUGGCGUGUCGUGGCCGCCGCACGAGGCUUCAGGCACGGCUUCAAACGAAGGCAGCUUCCACAACACUCACAGCGUAGGUGACCGUGGCAGCCCAUGAAGCAACACCUAGGAGGAGCAGGACAAGAUGAUGCAGGUCACCGUCGCGUUCAACCACUUCGGCAAGGGCCUCGUGCAGCGCAUGCCGCUUCGGCUUCUUCCACGUGCUGAACAACGACUACACGCACUGGCAGAUGUACGCCAUCGCCGGCAACCACGACCAAACCAUCAUCAGCCAGGGGAACCGGUUCAUCGCGCCCGACGACCCCAACGCAAGGAGGUGACCAAGCGGGAGUACGCGCCCUACAACGAGUACAAGGACUGGGUGUGGAAGUCGUAGGGGGCGUCAUGAUGAACGGGGCUUUCUUCAACCAGUCCGGCAUCCAGAACGAGCGCAAGUACGACAACAUGGAUUUCAUCCCUGCCAAGCACGACAAGUAUGUCGGGCAGCUCACGCAGUUCACCGGCACGCUCGACUGCCGCGUCGGCAAGCCGUGCUAGUGGAACUCAAUUGCGUCCCGCCUUGCUUGCCGGUUAAUCAAUUGUCUCUCCCGCCGGGUGGUCACAAAGUUGUACGUGCGUGCAUGUAACUCGUCUAUGGUAACCGGUCUCAAAUUGAAAAGUGUAUUAUAUCCUACGAUAGCUACGUGUCAACCGCUGAAUUUUGAAUAUGGGUCAAUCGAUUUUGGUUGAGGGAAGAAAUGGAGAAGCUCGCUAGGCAGGCUACCCACUAUCUAUCUUAGAGUUUACGAUGGGAGAAGUGGUGGGGGGGAGCGGUGGUCUGGGUCUUCCCCGAAGAAAGACCGGCGGUGGGGGCUGGUUUCGGGGAGGGCGGUGUACAGGACGUGGUAGCCGGCGGUUAUGGCUGGGUUGGAUUGGCGAGAGAGGGGGGGGCGGGGGGGUGGGGGGGGGGGGGGGGGGGGCAACUCACCCCGGGGAAGCCCAUAGGCCUUGGGGGAGACAUACCAGCCCUUAGUGGGCUGGUGGGACAGCCCACAAGUGCCCUAUGCGCCAAGGAGAAGAAAAUCAAGAGAGAAAGAAAAAAAAGGAGGAGGNNNNNNNNGAGAGAGGGGGAGAGAUGUAGAGUGAGAGAGAGGGAGAGAGGGAGAGAGAGAGAGAGGGAGCAAGGAUUUGGAUUUCGGUUUGUAAAUUUUACCGCCCUCAAACAAAAUGGGAGAUAUUCGGUAUUUCGGUAUUUUUUUGGAAAAUCUCGAUCGAAUAGAAUAAUCCAAAAAUUGAAAAUUUGAACGAGAAUUGGGCGAUAUUUUGAUGAAAAUUGAACGAAAUUCUACGAGUUAGUAAAUCAAUCGGGAUGCCCACGCACGAACACAUGCACACACCAUGCUCACAUCCUCGCGCGACCGUAUUGGCGCUCCUUACCGCGUUGGCUAUGCACUCUAGGACGAGGCAGCCACGACAGCGGGAGAGUUAUCGAGACUGGUCGAAGCUGGGUUCGGCUAAAAGGACAAAUAGGGCCAAAAAAAUUACCCAGCAAGCAGAUCUACGGGGCGUGAACGAAAUUGGCGAAUGUCGCCGGAAUUUCGUUUUUUCUGGCCGAAAUCCACAACUUUGAGAGGGAGAGGGAGAGGGGGGGGGGGAGAAUGUUUUUCUGAAGUGGAAGACGAUCAACGUCCAUUGGAUCUUGAUCGAAUGGUCGAGACAGAAGGAGGAGCAUCGACUGACCCUUCCUCGAUUUCCAAUCGACUGUCGCCUAGCCGCUACUAUAUUAUAUCUUCCAAUUGCUAUUAAUCAGGACACCAGGAAAAAAGGAUGUUUCCUUCGAUGUCGAGACUAUGUGGAGCACCGAGCUAGAAAGGGUAUUAGAGCUACUUGUCAAGACUUGACGGGUGCGGUUGCUCGUAAGUGGGGAGUCGCCAAAUCCAAAGAUUGAUGCUUGACUCUAUUCUUUUUUUUCAUUAGAUCUAUAACCCUGGCUAUAUAUCAUUUUGAAUGGACAAUAAAUAUAAGAAGUAUUUUUCAUAUGACCAAACCAUAGUUUUUGUAUUAUUAUUACAUAUACUUUAUGCAUGCUUGCUUGUUUUUUUUUGGAGCGAUGCAUGCUUACUAGUGCAAAUAUGGGAUUCCAUGGAAUGAGCCUCUCGCUCGACCACUGGAUCCUCAUGAUCUGGCGUUUCAGAUUCGGGAUUUCCUCUUGCUGGGCUGGCCCGUCAAUUUGCAGUUUUAAUCCUUUAUACCUUUUAUUAAACUUUUUAUACCUUUUAUUUCUAUUCUUCGUUUUCCUUUUUCCAUUUUUGUCUCUGUUUUUCUCAUUUUUCGUUUUUUCUUUAUUCUUUUUUUUUCAUAAUCAAUUAAGUGUUUUUUUCUUUUUCUUUUUCUCAUUCUUACUUUUAUGAUAAAUUAUGAUGAACUUUUUUCAGAAUGGAUGAAUUGUUUCAACUUUUGGUGAUCUUUUCUUCAAAUUCAAUGGUUUUUACAAAAAGAAAUCGAUGAACAUUUUUCAAAAUCUGUGAUCUUUUUUCAAAUUCGAUGAUUUUUUUAGAAAAAUGAUGAGCUUUAUCAAAUUUGAUGAUUUUUUUAAAACCAGUGCACUUUUUUUCAAAAUUGAUGAUUUUUGUAAAAUUGAUGAACUUUUUUCACAUUUGGUGAAUUUUUUUCACAUUUGAUGAACUUUUUUCAAAUUCGAUGAACAUUUUUUCAAAAUUAAUGAAGACUUUUUUAAUGAUGUGAACUUUUUUAAAUUUUGAUGAACUUUUUUCAAAUUUGAUGAACUUUUUGCAAAUUUGAUGAAAUGUUUUCAAAUUUCGAUGAACUUUUUUCAUAUGUAAACAUUUUUAAUCGGUGAACAUAUUUUAAAAUAUGUAAACUUUUUUCAUAAUCAAUGAAGUGUUUUUAAAGUUGAUGAACUUUAUCGAAAAUUGAUGAUUUUUUUUUGAAUUCUAUGAAAUUUUUGAAAGUUCAUGAAUGCAUUUCAAAAUUCGGUGAACUUUUUUACAUAAUCAUUGAACUUUUUGAAAAUCUGACGAAUUUUUUUCUAACCGAAUGAACAUUUUUCAAUUUAUGUUUUUUCAAAUUUGCGUACCUUUAUGGAAUUUCAAUGUACGUUUUCUAUUCACGUAUUUGAUUCCAUUUUUUCAGUUUUGUUCCAAAAGUCAAUGAUUUACCGGUUAACCGUAACCUAUCAACAACAUUUUUGUGUGGUAAAACCAGUUGGCAGCUUUUAUUUUUGAGACAAGCCAUUCAACAGCUAAGCAGCACGAUCAACACCGAACUGAGGUGCCAGCCAGCGAAUGUGGGUAUUAUUGGGCCAAGCCCAAUGGUGUGCCAGCGUGAGCGCCAGGAUCGCUGGUUGGCACUGAAGUUGCUGACUAGGACCUCUCCUCAGAUUUUCCUAGCUCCUCAAGAUCAUCACGUCGCAAUUUUCUAUAUUCUUCACAUAUGUAAGAAAAGAGCAUGGCUGGAAGUAGGGAUUUUACUAAACGUAGGGCCCUAAACUUAGAGAAAUACACGAUGCUUAGUUGUAUAUGAACGGUACAUGAGAUUUUUCUUGUAAUAAUUAAUUAAAAACUUAAAAUAGUUCUGAAGUAUUUUUAGAUUAAAUUUCACUUUGUUUUGCACUAGUAUAUAAAUUUUCAUCAAAGAAGUCAACAUUGACUUCUGGACAAAAAGGACAAAAUUUAUUUGUUACUAUAUGUCACUAUUCAUACUAUUUUAAUCAAAACUUUAUCUUUUCUGAAAUGAAGUCAAAGUAUAAUUUUAUUUUUGUGGAAUUUUUCUUACAAGUAUAAUGAAAGGUCAAGUUUAUUUCAAAAACAUUUUCAGAAUUUUUAGACUUUUUGUUAAAUUGCUAAAUUUCUUUUGCAUAUAGCAUGUAUAUACACUCAGGUUCCAAAUGUUCUCCUCCCCUAAACUUGGGUGUAUCGUGUGUUCGUGUGAUCUAUGUCCAAGUCGUCUCCCUCGCCUCCUAACAUGGCAUCCCCUCAACUACAAAUUCCAUGUAUCACCCUAGUACCAAUGUUGGGAUCAAACGAAGCGUCUUUCGAGACAUGCUUGGAUGCAUGUGCCCUUGGUAUAGGAUUUGAUCGGACCUUCGUAAUAUUAAAGAAUUCCUAGUAUACAUAUUAGUUUCACGAGUGGUUGCUGAUAGGUCGACGUGGCGAAGAAGAGGAAGAACGACCAAGGCAAACAAAACAUUACACGACCAAUUCACAUUGACUCUGUUCGUUAAUUCAAACUCAUUGACUCUGUUGUUUUUAUUAGAUCUGUAGCCUUCGCUAUAUACCUUUUUGAAUGGUCAAUAACUAGAACCAUUGUUUUUCAACUUAAGGCAUAGUUUUCGUAUUAUUGCGUAUACUUUAGGCAUAUAGUUUCAUGCUUACUCUUUUUUUUAAGUGAAGUUGCAUGCUUACUUGUGCUAAAUAGACGGUCCAAAUAAUUUUUUCAAAAAAAAAAUGUGAAACAAAAACACGUUUCUAUUACUCGAUCCUGGUCAUGGCUGGAUUUUGAAGAACCCGUAAGAGCAUCUACAAUGGGACCUUGCAAAUCCGUCUUUUCAAGCACUCACGAACGCGGCCGAAUGCGUUCGUGGACAUUGACCGAUCACGUCUUAAAUUUUUAUUUCCAUAUCCAAUUCUUUCAUAUUUCAUUUCUCAUAUUCAUACAAAAGCAUACACAAUAUAUCCUACCUAUUAACUAGUGUACUAAGGUUCUUUUUCAUCUGAGAUGCCCUUCGUUGGAGCCUGAUCCUUCUGUGUUGCCUCCUUCGCCGCCUGCGCCGCCUCCUGGGCCGCCUGCGCCGCCCACCCUUCCUCCAUUUGACGCCUGGUCACCGCAGCCGACUCCGAGCAGAUGAAGUUAAGGAUGGCCAGCUGCUCCGGCCACAAAUCGAGGAUCGCCGGCGCCUCCUCCUUCGACACCCUCCUCCUCCAGCGCUUGUGGCUCCUCCUCGGGCUCCUCCCCAUCUCCUCCCCCUCCCCCAAAUCUACCUCCGGUUUCAUAGGUAGCCCCGCUUCCCUUCGAAUUUGGAUCUACUGAAGGAGGAAGAGACGAUGCUGGAUCAUGUAAUGCCGGCGGCGUGAUGUCAUGGCUGACGGGCUCGAAGAGGGAAGUGCUCUGGUGGUGGCCGGGAGAGGUGCCGGCCGGCUUAGCCGGCCCCGAACCCGAAGCGGCGUCGCGCGACGUUCACACCGCGUGGGCGGUCGAGGCGCCCGACGGACCAUCGAAUUUCCCGAUGAGUCCGCGUGUGGCCAAGCCGUCAACCCGACUCCCCAUAUCCGCCUCAUAGUUCGGUUGAAAAUGGGGGUUGCUGGUCAGCCGGGACGUUUGAGGCCGGUUUAAGAGACCCGUCUGGAUUGAAUAUUUGUGACGAACGGUGACCCGACGGCCUGCCCGAACGUUUAAAAAAGAUUUGAGGGUCCAAGUAUAGAUGCUCUAACCGAGCCCCGUCCGAACAAUGCCCAGGUUUAGAACGACGAGCGUGACGAAACCAGCAGCACGGCCCCAUAGCGGCACUGUAUCGGUGGUAGCCUGCAUGCAUAUGGAUACGAGGCCAUAUAUACCACUAUAAACGUACCGACAGACGCAUCACGAUCGCUCCCGUUUCUUCCCAAACAUCUCCUCCCGAUCCAAUCCCACCCGGCUAACUACACACAAACGUAGCCGGGCCGACGAGGAAUCGUAGAUCAAGUUCUCUCUCGCGAGGCACUAUUCCUUGAUGGCGUCGUUUGACAUGGAAGAUCCCAACACCUCCAACAAACGGGGUGGACAAACGGGGUGACAAAUGAUUGUUUUUCCUUUGGGAGUUUGGACUGACAAAUGAUUGUUUUCUCCAAACAAAUUUUAUAAUCAUCACAACACCAAAUCCUUUGUCAUGUGAUUUCCAUUAUGUUUUACAUCACAAAUUUUUUGAGACAGUACACUGCCCUAUUUCUGUUGUGGAACGCUUGGCCUAGUACUGCAUUGAUGCAACACGUCUAAUGAUAUUUUCAUCUACUGAACUAUUGUAGGUCUUGAAGUAUGGUGCACUCGUUGCCAGGAACUGCACUCACCAAUGGACUAUCUAGAAGUAUUCGAGGUAAACAAUUAUUUCAUGAAUUUAAACCUUCUCUGUAAUUCAGGUACGUGUUUUCUCUCAUUCACUAAAUGCCAAAAUAAUUUUCAUGUUGUGGUUUUCUGAAAUUAACACAAUUUCAGGUUAGUUCUCAUUAGCAGCGAUCACCUUGCGAAAUUAUUAUCAUCUUUGUUUGCAAAUUAAUUCUUAACAUGGCCUUGCAUCAGGAUUCUAAACAUGGCGUUGCUUCUUGACUCACAAGGAAAAACAUGUUUAAUUAUCAUCAUAUAUCUGCAUUGUUAACAAACAACUGAUUGUUGGUUACAAACUGAUAGGGAAGCUCCCGAGUUUCACAUCUUUUGUAGGCGAGUCCGGAAAGUCCACUCCUAUGAGUCGUCGUGCCAUCUCCUUCGCUACCUAUAAUGCCCAAGAUGCGAUCCUAUCCUUAUUUUCGUGCGAGGGCCUCGACAGGGAUAGAAAGGCAUCUGUCAUUUCACAAGAAUGGAUAUCGUUACAAGUACAUGGACUGAAAAGAUGAGUAUAAGAAGUUGGCUUACACUCGCCACAAGUUGCAUUAAGAUCACAUCAAUACAACAACAUAAUCAAUCAUCAUGAAGAACAACAGGGUCCGGCUACGGAUGAAAACAAAUGAUAAAAGAACGACGUCCAUCCUUGCUAUCCAAGGCUGCCGGCCUAGAACCCAUCCUAGAUCGAUGAAGAAGAAGAAGAUGAAACUUCAAAUAGAACAAUCAUCGCGCUCACGUCAAAGUAACUCUUUACCUGUACCUGCAGCUCUUGUUGUAGUAAUCUGCGAGCCACAGAGACUCAACAAUCUCAUUUUCAAAGGUAUCAAGACUAGCAAAGCUUAACGGGUGAGGUAUGGUUAAGUGGUGAGGCUGUAACAAGCGACUAAGCAUUUAUUUAAGGUGGCUAAUUUACGAGUACAAGAAUAAAAGAGGGGAUGAUCUACCCAUAGCGGAGAUGAACUACUGAUGAUCAAAUAAUUGAUCCUGAACACCUACUUACGUCAGACAUAACCCCAUCGUGUCUUCUCCCGGAUACAGAACUCACGAGAAAGAGACAGUCACGGUUCCUUAGUUUCCUUAUGGUAUCCUAUGAUAGAAGAUUUUGCCUUCGGAUCUGAGAUAGAAGGUAUACCCAAUAGUUUUCUUACGGUAUCCUCUGAAGAUGCACUUUUCCGAUUUGGGUUCGAGCUUUUCAGGUUGAAGUUUAUUGACAAAAGCAUCGCAUCCCCAAACUUCCUAAAACGACAGCUUAGGUUUCUUUCCAAACCAUAAUUCAUACGGUGUCGUCUCAAUGGAUUUAGACGGUGCCCUAUUUAAAGUGAAUGCGGAAGUCUCCAAUGCAUAUCCCCAAAAUGAUAGCGGUAAAUCAGUAAGAGACAUCAUAGAUUGCACCAUAUCCAAUAGAGUGCGAUUACGACAUUCAGGCACACUGUUACGGUGAGGUGUGCCAGGCGGUGUGAGUUGUGAAACAAUUCGACAUUUCCUUAAGUGCGUGCCAAACUCGUGACUCAAAUAUUCUCCCCCAUGAUCAGAUCGUAAGAACCUUUCAAAGGUCUCAGACUUGUGUUUCAUUAAGUAGACAUACCCAUAUCUGCCUAAGUCAUCAGUGAGGGCGAGAACAUAACGAUAGCCACCGCGAGCCUCAACGCUCAUUGAACCGCAUACAUCGAUAUGUAUUAUUUCCAACAAGUUGGUUGCUCGCUCCAUUGUUCCGGAGAAAGGAAUCUUAGUCAUCUUGCAAAUGAGGCACGGUCCACACGUGUCAAAUGAUUCAAAAUCAAGAGACUCCAAAAAUCCAUCUAUAUGGAGUUUCAUCAUCAUGUGUUUGACACCGAUAUGAUCAAGGCGGCAGUGCCAUAAGUAUGUGAGACUAUUACUAUCAACCUUACAUUUUUUGGUACUCACACUAUGAAUAUGUAUAACAUGACGUUCAAGAUUCAUUAAUAAUAAACCAUUGAUCAGCGGGGCAUGAUCAUAAAACAUAUAUCUUAUAUAAAUAAAAACAACAAUUAUUCUCAGCUUUAAAUGAGUACCCAUCUCGCAUCAAACGAGAUCCCGAUACAAUGUUCGUGCUCAAAGCUGGUACUAAAUAACAAUGAUUAAGGUUUAAAACUAAUUCCGAAGGUAGAUGUAGAGGUAGCGUGCCGACGGCGAUCACAUCAACCUUGGAACUAUUCCCGACGCGCAUCGUCACCUCGUCCUUUGACAGUCUUCACUUAUUACGCAACUCCUGUUUUGAGUUACAAAUAUGAGCAACAACACCGGUAUCAAAUACCCAGUAGCUACUACGAGCGCUCCUAAGAUAAAAAUCAAUAACAUGUACUCCCUCUGUUCCAAAAUGAGUGUCUCAAGCUUAGUACAACUUUGUACUAGAGCUAGUAUAAAGUUGAGACACUUAUUUUGAGACGGAGGGAGUAUAUCAUAUAUACCUUUGACGUUGACAGCCUUCUUAUCCGCUAAGUAAUUGGGGCAAUUCCGUUUCCAGUGACCGUUUCCCUUGCAAUAAUAGCAUUCAGUCUCAGGUUUGGGUCCAUUCUUGGACUUCUUCCCGACAACUGGUUUACCGGGCAUGGCAACUGUUUUGCCGUUCCUGAGCACUUGAACUUGCACCACCUGAUCGCCGGUGUCAGCUGCUAGCGGCGUGAAGAGGCAGACGUCGGAGAUCCUGAGGCCGUUGUCCCACGCGAAGCCCUCCCAUCCGGCCAUGAUCAUGCCGCCCUUGCUGCCGACCCUGACGGACACCUCCCAUCGCCGGUCGCCGCGUUCGGCCACACUGAGCUCGGCGGUGCACGACUCGGCCCAUCCCACGCGGACACAGAAAGUUUUGGUCAGCUCCAUAUACUGCAGAUGGAACGGUUGCUCGAUGCCGAGCCGGAGCGUCCUCUCAUCGUCCGACGACGACCGUCCGCAGGAGACGGCGGGUGAGGCGGUGGCCGGCAAGGGCUUCUUCCUCUUUCUCCCGGUGGCCACCGGCAGUGGGGGCGACGGGGAAGGGUACCGGCCGUGGUGGUCGUCCUCGUUACUGCCGGACUCCACGUCUGCGGCGGCAUCAGCGACGUCCAUGUUCGUCGUGCCGCCGCCCUCGCCGCCGAAGGAGGUGCUACAGCCGGAGGUGUCGAAGGGCUCGACGGCGAAGUCGAGGCCGUUGAGGUGUUCGAAGAUGAGGAGCUGGCCGGCGGAGAGUCCGCAGCCGGCGACGAAGCUUCGCCACCCCCUCCCGUCGAAGCGCAGGCCCGCGGCGCCGUGCCGGACGAGGCCCACGUGCCACGAGCGGCCCGUGGGGUCGCGCAGCGUGGCGACGGCGAGCACCGGCGGCCGGUCCAGUCCCGCCGCGAACUUGGGCGGCAGAGACUGCAUGUAGCCAAUGUAGACAAACGUCAGGCAUAUGCAUAUCGAAGCGUAUUAAGGAUUGAGUAAUGGAAAUUGUAGAUUGGAGAGGUCCCUUGACCGCGAUGGCGACGAGGGUACGUACGUACCAGGCUGGACUCGAAGGAGCCCGGUAGGAGGAUCUUGAAGAACUUUUGCCGGCGUACGGCGGCGCCGUCCAUGGCCGCAAUAGAUCGACGGAUGGAUGCACCGGCGGCGGCGGCUGCCGCUGCGGCGGUGGAGUAUCCUUCCCUUUCUCGUUGAUGGAUGUCACGGCCGUUUCUCAGUUUGUGCGGCGUGUCGAUUGAUUGUUGUUUCGUAACCUCCGUGAUUUUAUAGAUACGUUACGGUUUGUUUCCUAAUUCCCUUCGGCGUUGCCCAUAUGACACAGUUUCUUCACGGGUUCGGAUUGAAACCCAACGGCCGCCGAUGAACACACGGUUUUAUCACGUACGUACGCCAGACCUACACUUUCCUCCUACGGAUUCACCGGCCCCCCAUGGCCUCCUACAGCAAGAAGAAGAUGGCUUUCUACCUGACCCCGAUGCCAUGUUUCGCGACCUUGUCCCCCUCGGCUAUAUUAUCCAGGCAAACACGGACAACGGCAAGCGCAUCUCGAAGGUGUGGCCGUUUUGUGCCCCUGAUGGAUCUACUCCUGCUUAUAAACAGUAAAUUCGGAAGGAAUAGCGAAAAAUGUAAAAUGUUGAGCUUGUAGGCAUCCUAUAUGCUUGAAUCGUGUAUGCGGUUGCAAACAUUUGUAUAGAGAUGAGUUCAGAGCACUAGUAGAAAAAGGGGUUUUAGCCCCGGUUCGGUUGGAUCAUUAGUCCCGGUUCUCGAACCGGGACUAAUCAACCGGGGCUAGUGACCACAUGGCGGGGCUGGAAGCGAGGGGGGGUGGGUUAUUAGUCCCGGUUCGUACUAUGAACCGGGGCUAUUUCUUCGCUGUUUUUUUAAGCAAUUUUUAGGGUUUAGGGUUUUGCACUAAAUUGGAUGGGCUAUUUUGCUACCCCUUAUUUUCCCAUUUAUUUGUUUUGGGCAUUUUUUAAUUCUUGUUUUACACUAAAUUGGAUGGCACAUACACAACAAUAAAGGAACAACUAUAUUGCACAUCGUCACGAAUAUAUUACACCAUCUCAUUCGUCGUGCUUUGUCGAACAUAUUUACAAAAUGUAGACACGAGUUACAUGCACAUAUAUGCAUCUUUUUUACACUAUAUCAUUUCAUAUCAUUUUCGUCGAAUGCAAUAGUAUUCUCCCUUGACAUCUAGGACAUCUGCAUCUAAGAAUCCGGCAAUUUCCUCUUGAAUUGCUCGUACACGUUUCUGCGGUAGAAGACCGUCUCGGUUCGAUCUAAUUUAAAGAAGGGGUCAAUAUAUAUAUCAAUGAAAACGAACACGUAAUAAAUUAAAGCCGUGAGUAUUGUUUAUCGUACUUCAAUUUUUUUGAUGUCUCGGGUUUUGCCCUUCUGAUGGAUCGUCUUGCGAAUGAACUCGCAAACAUAGCAUCCACAUAAAUUGUUCCCGUGUUCCUGUCUCAAGCUCUUUACGAGAACAGAGUUGAAUCAAAAACAUAAUAAAGAAUUAUAAAGGUAUUGAAACUAGAAUAAAGAGAUGCGCNNNNNNNNNNNNNNNNNNNNNNNNNNNNNNNNNNNNNNNNNNNNNNNNNNNNNNNNNNNNNNNNNNNNNNNNNNNNNNNNNNNNNNNNNNNNNNNNNNNNNCGUGCCCCGCGGCUCGUCUCCAGCCGCUCCUGACAGCCAGGCCGCUCCCCCCAGCAGCGCCAGCACGCCUCCCCCUAGGUCUGUUCCUGUUGGCCCGCCAACCAACACCCACGCCAUGCGCACGCGGGCCAAGUCCGGCAUCUCCCUCCCCAAACAGAUCGUCUCCCUGCACACCACCAUUCCUUCCAUUAGCCCCAUCCCAUCCUCCUACCGCGUUGCUCUCCAAGACCCCAACUGGUACAACGCCAUGCUUGAGGAAUAUGAUGCUCUAAUGAGGAACGAUACUUGGUGUUUGGUGUCUCGUCCUGCAGGNNNNNNNNNNNNNNNNNNNNNNNNNNNNNNNNNNNNNNNNNNNNNNNNNNNNNNNNNNNNNNNNNNNNNNNNNNNNNNNNNNNNNNNNNNNNNNNNNNNNNNNNNNNNNNNNNNNNNNNNNNNNNNNNNNNNNNNNNNNNNNNNNNNNNNNNNNNNNNNGACCGGAAAAUGGAUCUUCCGACAUAAGUUCAACGCCGACGGCACGCUCGCUCGGUACAAGGCUCGGUGGGUCCUUCGCGGCUUCACGCAGCAAGCCGGCGUCGACUAUGGCGAGACUUUUAGCCCCGUUGUCAAGCCGGCCACUGUUCGGACUGUGCUCAGCAUCGCCGCCGGGCACUCCUGGCCCAUUCACCAGCUGGACGUGAAGAACGCCUUCCUCCACGGGCACCUCGCCGAGACGGUCUACAGCCAGCAACCGGCCAGCUUCGUCGACUCCGCUCACCCGUCGUGCGUGUGCCGCCUCAACCGCUCCUUGUACGGCCUCAAGCAGGCUCCGCGCGCCUGGUUCUCGCGCUUCACCGCCUUCCUCCGCACGCUCGGCUUCACCGUGUCUCGGUUCGACUCGUCGUUGUUCAUCCUCCGGCGUGGGCGUUGUUGGAAAUAUACCCUAGAGGCAAUAAUNNNNNNNNNNNNNNNNNNNNNNNNNNNNNNNNNNNNNNNNNNNNNNNNNNNNNNNNNNNNNNNNNNNNNNNNNNNNNNNNNNNNNNNNNNNNNNNNNNNNNNNNNNNNNNNNNNNNNNNNNNNNNNNNNNNNNNNNAUGCCCUAGAGGCAAUAAUAAAUUAGUUAUUAUUAUAAUUUUUAGUUCAUGAUAAUCGUUUAUUAUCCAUGCUAUAAUUGUACUGAUUGGAAACACAAUACUUGUGUGGAUACAUAGACAAAACACUAUCCCUAGUAAGCCUCUAGUUGACUAGCUCGUUGAUCAAAGAUGGUCAAGGUUUCCUGGCCAUAGGCAAGUGUUGUCACUUGAUAACGGGAUCACAUCAUUAGGAGAAUCAUGUGAUGGACUAGACCCAAACUAAUAGACGUAGCAUGUUGAUCGUGUCAUUUUGUUGCUACUGUUUUCUGCGUGUCAAGUAUUUNNNNNNNNNNNNNNNNNNNNNNNNNNNNNNNNNNNNNNNNNNNNNNNNNNNNNNNNNNNNNNNNNNNNNNNNNNNNNNNNNNNNNNNNNNNNNNNNNNNNACGAAUGGGUUCCGGGAGUUCACCGGGGGGGGCAACCCACAAGUGCCCUAUGCGCCAAGGAGAAGAAAAUCAAGAGAGAAAGAAAAAAAAAGGAGGAGGUGGGAAGGAAGGGGGACUCCCUCCCACCAAACCUAGUCCAACUCGGUUUGGGGGGGGGAGAGUCCUCCCCCUUGGACUCGGCCGACCCCCUUGGGGCUCCUUGAGCCCCAAGGCAAGGCCCCCUCCCUCCCACCUAUAUAUACGGAGGUUUUAGGGCUGAUUUGAGACGACUUUUCCACGGCAGCCCGACCACAUACCUCCACGGUUUUUCCUCUAGAUCGCAUUUCUGCGGAGCUCGGGCGAAGCCCUGCUGAGACAAGAUCAUCACCAACCUCCGGAGCGCCGUCACGCUGCCGGAGAACUCUUCUACCUCUCCGUCUNNNNNNNNNNNNNNNNNNNNNNNNNNNNNNNNNNNNNNNNNNNNNNNNNNNNNNNNNNNNNNNNNNNNNNNNNNNNNNNNNNNNNNNNNNNNNNNNNNNNNNNNNNNNNNNNNNNNNNNNNNNNNNNNNNNNNNNNNNNNNNNNNNNNNNNNNNNNNNNNNNNNNNNNNNNNNNNNNNNNNNNNNNNNNNNNNNNNNNNNNNNNNNNNNNNNNNNNNNNNNNNNNNNACUAGAUCGUGGGACUGAUCGCGGGACUGUUCGCGGGGCGGAUCGAGGGACGUGAGGACGUUCCACUACAUCAACCGCGUUCUCUAACGCUUCUGCUGUACGGUCUACAAGGGUACGUAGAUCACUCAUCCUCUCUCGUAGAUGGACANNNNNNNNNNNNNNNNNNNNNNNNNNNNNNNNNNNNNNNNNNNNNNNNNNNNNNNNNNNNNNNNNNNNNNNNNNNNNNNNNNNNNNNNNNNNNNNNNNNNCAAGAGAGACGGAGAGCUAGAAGAGUUAUCCGGCAGCGUGACGGCGCUUCGGAGGUUGGUGGUGAUCUUAUCUCAGCAGGGCUCCGCCCGAGCUCCGCAGAAACGCGAUCUAGAGGAAAAACCGUGGAGGUAUGUGGUCGGGCUGCCAUGGAAAAAUCGUCUCAAAUCAGCCCUAAAACCUCCGUAUAUAUAGGGGGAAGAGGGGGAACCUUGCCUUGGGGUCCAAGGACCCCUAAGGGCUUCGGCCGAGCCAAGGGGGGCAGCCCUCCCCUUCCAAACCGAGUCCAACUAGGUUUGGAAGGAGGAGUCCUUCCCCCUUUUCCCACCUCCUCUUUUUUUUCUUUUCUCCUUGAUUUUCUUCCUAUGGCGCAUAGGGCCUUCUUGGGCUGUCCCACCAGCCCACUAAGGGCUGGUGCGCCACCCCCAAGGCCUAUGGGCUUCCCCGGGGUGGGUUGCCCCCCCCCCCCCGGUGAACUCCUGAAACUCAUUUGUCAUUCCCGGUACAUNNNNNNNNNNNNNNNNNNNNNNNNNNNNNNNNNNNNNNNNNNNNNNNNNNNNNNNNNNNNNNNNNNNNNNNNNNNNNNNNNNNNNNNNNNNNNNNNNNNNACAUAUAUAUAUAUAUAUAUAUAUAUGGAUAUUGUAAUCAACAUCAUCAUUUUCUUGGUCUAAAGAAGUUUUUAAUCUUGAAAGACGAUGUUUAGAAAACUUCAAGACGAUUCUAUAACUAGCGCAAUGCGAAUAAGGAUUACCAAACAGUUUCUUGGUGAUAAUCUAACAAGGCUAGAAAUUGGUUUCCUCAUCUUCUAAUAUCAAUGAAGUGAUUGUUGCAUACAUGAAAAAGAAAAUUAGGUUUCUUUCAUCUUCUAAUAUCAAUGAAGUGAUUGCUGCAUACAUGAAAAAGAAAUUGGUUUCUUCAUCUUCUAAUAUCAAUGAAGUGAUUGUUGCAUACAUGAAAAAGAAAUUGGUUUCUUCAUCUUCUAAUAUCAAUGAAGUGAUUGUUGCAUACAUGAAAAAGUGCCUGACGAGGAUAACGUAGUCUUAAAUAGUAUGAGUAUGUGGUUCAUAUUACAAUUUGUUGAACGAAAGUUAUUGCCUAAUCUGUAUAUGUUUAGAUGUUCUUUUAUAAUGUCCCAAGCUUGCUUCAGAAGUACUCGAUGGAAAGAGCGGUGCAUUUAUUCAUUAAGAAAUCAAUCUUAGGUUACUGCUCCAACACUAGCCAUGUAUGUUUCUAGCCACUCUUCUACUUGCUCCGUUCCUAAAUAUAAGUCUUUUCUAAAGAUUUCAUUAGUACUACAUACGGAGCAAAAUAAAUGUAUCUACACCCUAAAGUUAUUUACCGGAUAUGCAAAAUAAUGAAAGAUAUUUUUCCUGAUUUUAGAAUGAGUAGCAUUUACUCAGUGAAAAAUUGUACGUAUGUGAAGUGUGCACCCGACCAAACCAUGAUAUAAAGUCGGCGUAGAGCAACCUUGAUGUGCUAGUGCAAGAGAGAAAAUAAAUUAUGAAGAGACACAAAGCUUGGUUGCUAUGUUUCGAAAUAAUUAGACGGGACCCCAAAGUACAUAUUAGCAAGUCAUGGGCAUGAGAGAGAUCGCGAAGAUUGAGGCUGCUUGUAUUGAAAUAGUGACGGCAUAUGGACGUUUAAUUUGGAGUGGCACGGUGAGCAGGAUGAGCAGCCGUGUCCACGGUGGGAGAGGACAGGCGACGCGAGUAGCCGAGGAAGGUGGUCAUAAGGUCGGCUACAAAGCUACUUCUACCCCUGGAGCUCAGGAAGGGGCGGUACACGGUCGAUGGUGGCCACGCGUAGACAUACAGAGGUUGCAAUAGGCAGGGUAGAACUGCAUGCUGGCGAACAUGCUACAUUACUACUUGUUCUUUCUAUUGCUGCUCCGUUUCGAGGGAAGAGGGAAUACAUGUCUUGAGGAUACGGGACAAACUACUACUACCACUUGAAGAAAAAAAAUUAGCUACUGCCACACAUUUUCUUUUUAACUUCUUUUUUCUCACACCUUUCUCCACGCUUCUUCAGAGCACGGUAUAAUCAUCUAAACUGUGAGAACUAAGUACAGGGCUCAGAUUGGCUAAAAAUUCAGAAGUAAACAUCGAGAAUCCAACAUUCACUAGUGGAAAACGGGCCUUUGGCCUGGACCCUUUAGUCCCGGCCUCCCUCUGUGCCGGGACUAAAGGCCCGGCCACGUUGCCCCAAAUCGCAAUGCCGCCCACGAGGCUUUGGUCCCGGUCCGUAAGGAGCCUUUAGUCCCGAUUUGUGUCUCAAACCGGGACUAAAGGGCUACGCAGUGUGCAGCCCACAUGUGCGCCACCU